UUUCUGUAUAUGAUUGUAGGGUAGGAUUUGUAUAUAAGGAGGAAGUAUUCUGUACGGCGAUCAUCGCCUAUAAUCUGACAGCUUGGCUGUACAUUAUCGAACAUAUGUUGUAAUGGCAUGAUAUGGUGUGUAGGGAUAAGUGGCGUUUUUAACCCUACAUGGUGUGGUGAGAUGGUGGAGUUGGUGUGUAGAGGAUGGGGGUAGGAUUUUGUGUUUCUGAUCUGUAUAUCUGAUUCUGUGUACUGUAUCUAAAAAGGCUUUGAGCUUGACUCUGUAUUUGUAUAUUUGCAUGCUUAUUUCUGUUGUGUUAUACACUGAGUUUACGAAAAUUCACAUCUGUUUGUCUGUUCUGUUCAGGUAAUCCACGAACUUAGGUGGAUCGGUGCAGCGAAGACUCAACAGUGACCACUCGAUCGUAAACUAUUUUAAGUUAUCAAUUUAUGGUUUUAUUUACGAUUUUGGUUUUAUUCUAAGAGUUUGUAAUUUUUGAGAUUCUCUAGACUUUAUGGUUUUUAACUGUUGAUUUUUGGUUUGUUAAUAAUUUGCAUGCCUUGAUAAAUUAUUUUAUGAAAUCGAUGGUUUUUACGCAAAAGAGGUUUUUCCUAAAAAUAACAAAUUAGGUUUCUAAAAUUUAUCACAUUUAUUAAACUUCCGCUGUUGUAAGUGUUUGGUAAACAAAUUAAUUAAAUAAAUAUUUUCAGUAUAAUCAUGACGAACACGAGGAAUCAAAAUUGAAUGAUUUAUCAAGUCAACACCGUUUGUCGGGCUUUGAAUUUUGGGUCCCAAAUUUGUAUUUAAAAAGAAUUGAUUUUCAAAUAUUUUAGAUAAUUUGAGAAAGUAUGUAGUACAUCGAGUCUUCGGUGCCGAUCCUGUAAGUAUCUUUGUACUUAGAUAGAACUGUUCUGAAAAUACUGUAGUUAGUAGUUUCUAAAACUGUACUGAAAUAGUUAGAAACUGAAACUUCUGAAACCAUCUCUGAACUUCUAAUAAUUUAUACAUAAAAAUAUAUGUUAAUAAACACUAAAACUGAUACAUAAAACUUUAUAAUGUAGAUAAAUUUGAAUUAUACAAUGAGCGCUCGUAGAACUCGCAUACAUGAUAUUUGUGGCCGUGGUAGAGGCCGUAAGGGAGCUCGAGCUGAGUCUUCCUAUUUGGGUAGUAUGCCAAACUUAGAUACGAGUGAGACACCUGUUUCGCUUGCUAUUGAAACUGGGUCUCAAAGCCGUUCGGCUGGGGACGACGAACUGUCCCAAGCCAUGCUAAUGAAUUAGAGAGUGUUGUUGGACCCCAUUCUGGAUAUGGGGCCGUGGGUCGGUAACGAAACAACUCCAGUCCAAUGGUACGUAGUUGUUUAGGGGUGUCACUGAAGUUGCCUCUACAGUGGUCAAGUCUUAGUUAGAGGACACUGAAAGGAUUAUGAACAAUUUAGACUGUACUCCCAAGCAGAAACUGAAGGGUGCAGUCUCUUUAAUCAAGUUAGAACCCGAAGAAACGAUCCCAAAAAUAUAGAAAUCAUCAAAAAUCGAGCUAAAAUCGUACCUUAAUCAAUCUAGGAAUGUGCCAAAAUUUAAAAGCUUCAAACCUUAUCUUCCUUUUUUAAUUUUCAGUUGCCAAAGAUGAGCAAAAAUGAAUUUUGACUUUGUUUUUACUAAAUUAUAACUUAAUUGCCAAUUUACUAUAUUACCCUUAUUUAUAAACUUAUAAAACCAUAUAAUGGAUGUCCAUUAAUGUCCAUUAACACUAUCUAUGGUCUACUUUCAUCAUAAGGACCUCCCAUUUAAUAAGCCAUGGCAAUUAAGCACUUUUAACUUAUAGCAUGCUACUUUUGCAUAUUACGCGAUUAAGUUCUUUUUCUCAAAUUGAGCUAUUAAACAGUAAAAUUAACCCACGAAAUGUUCACACAUAUAUGUUCACAUACUGUAAACACUAAAAAUAAUAUUAAAAUAAUUUUACAACCUCUGAUUUGUGGCUCUGAAACCACUGUUCCAAUUAAGCUAAAAACCAGACUAUUAUAAGGCUUUUGUAUUUUUGAAGAUUGAUCUCCGUUCUGGGUAUCACCAGUUGAGAGUUAAGGAGGUGGAUGUUCAUAUGACUGCAUUUAGAACUCGUUAUGAACAUUACGAGUUCCUAGUUAUGCCUUUUGGUCUGACGAAUUCUCCAGCUGCAUUCAUGGAUCUGAUGAACCGAGUUUUUUAGCCAUAUCUGGAUUAGUUCGUUGUGGUGUUCAUUGAUGAUAUUAUAUUUUACUCUAAGAUUAAGGAUGAACAUGAUGAGCAUCUUAGAGUAGUGCUUCAGAUACUUCGGGAAAAAUAGUUCUACGCUAAGUUUAGCAAGUGCAAGUUUUGGCUGCGUGAGGUAACUUUUCUAGGGCACUUGGUUUCUGCUGAAGGGAUCUGAGUUGACCCUAGAAAGAUCAAUGUGGUGCUUGAUUGGAAACAACCUAAGAAUGUAUCUGAGAUCCACAGUUUUCUAGGUUUGGUGGGUUAUUAUCAGCAGUUUUUCGAGGGUUCUCUCUGAUUGCAGCUCCGUUGACUAAGCUUCUACGUAAGGGAGUUCCUUUUGUCUGGAUUGAUCCACAACAAUCGAGCUUCGAGAAGCUCAAGUCUGUUCUAACUCAGACUCCUAUUCUGAUACAACCUGAAUCUAGAAAAAAGUUUGUGGUAUAUAAUGAUGUGUCACACGUCGGUUUGGGAUGUGUAUUGAUGCAAGAUGGAAAAGUUGUGGCUUAUGCAUCCCAUCAACUUAAGACACAUGAAGGGAAUUAUCCAACCCAUGAUCUCGAAUUGGCUGCGGUGAUUUUUGCGUUGAAAUCUAGAGGCAUUAUCUGUAUGGUGAGAGGUGUAUCGUCUACACCGAUCACAAAAGUCUCAAGUACAUCCUUACCUAGAAGGAGUUAAAUCUUAGGCAGCAUCGAUGGAUUAAGCUGCUAAAAGAUUAUGACCACAUGAUAGAGUAUCAUCCUAUUAAGGCCAAUGUGAUCGCUGAUGCUUUAAGUCGUAGGGCAAUGACGGAUUUGAGAGUGAUGUUUGCUCGACUUUGUCUGUUUGAUGAUGGGAGACUGUUAGCCGAGUUGCAAGUUAAACCGACUUGGAUUGAUUAGAUUCGAUAUAAGCAGUUAGGGGAUGAGUUUCUGGGUCUACAGUUUCAUUAGAUUGAGAGUAGUAGUACUUCAGAUUUUGGGUUGAAUAAUGAUUGGUGUUUUGUAUUUUCGAGGUUAGAUAUGUGUGCCAAAUGACUCUGAUUUAAGGCAAUCAAUUCUGAGGGAGGCGCAUAGUAGGCCUUAUGCCAUGUAUCUCGGUGGUAAUAAGAUGUAUUGGGAUUUCCGUGAAUUGUACUAGUGGCCAGGUUUGAAGCGUGAGGUUACAAAUUUCGUUGCUCGUUGUCUGACGUGCCAACAAGUUAAGAAUGAACACCUGUUGCAUUCAGGUUUGUUACAACCAGUUAAGAUUCCCUUAUAGAAAUGGGAACGAGUGACGAUGGACUUUGUUAGUGGGUUGCCAUUGACACUUCCUAAGAAGGAUUCUGUUUGGGUUAUCGUAGAUCGAAUGACCAAGUCUACUCAUUUUAUUUCAGUUCAAAUGGACUUUUCUCUACAGAAGUUGGCGAAGUUCUAUAUAUCUGAUAUAGUAAGACUACAUGGGGUUUCUGUGUCGAUUAUUUUUUAUAGAGAUCCUCACUUCAGUUUUCGAUUCAGAAAGAAGUUACACAAGGCUCUGGGUUCGAGAUUGGACUUCAGUACUACGUUCCAUCCUUAGACCGAUGGUUAGUCUGAUAAGGUGAUUCAGAUAUUUGAGGAUAUGCUUUGGGGCUGUGUAAUAGAUUUCUGAGGUAGUUGGGAGGAUUAUCUACAACUAGCUGAGUUUAACUAUAAUAAUAGUUUCCAGUCUAGCAUCCAGAUGUCACCUUACGAGGCUUUCUAUGGUCGUAAGUGUUGUACUCCACCAUGUUAGACUAUGUCGGGUGAACAUCGGGUUUUGCACCCUAAGUUGGUUUCUAAGACCGAUGAUAAGGUUAGAUUGAUUCUAGAUCGUCUAAAAAUGACUUCUGAUAGACAAAAAUCUUAUGCAAACCUGAAAAGGCGAUUGAUUCUAGAUCAUUUAAAAAUAACUUCUGAUAGACAGAAAUCUUAUGCAGAUUUGAAAAGGCGUGAUAUUGAGUACUCCAUGCGGGACUUCGUUUUUCUUAAGACUUCUCCGUAGAAGAAGGUUCUAAGAUUCAGUUGUAAGGGCAAGUUAAGCCCUAGGUUUAUAAGGUCGUAUCCAACUCUGAAGCGUAUGGGACAGGUCGCUUAUCAGUUGAAGCUACCUCUGGAGUUGGAUCGUAUCCAUGAUGUGUUUCACAUUUCGAUGUUGAGGCGGUAUUGGUCUUAUCCAUCUCACGUUGUCUCUAUUGAGGAUAUCAAGGUUAGAUCGGAUUUGACUUUUGAGGAAGAGCCGAUUCAGAUUCUAGAGCGAGAUGUUAAGAUUCUGAGAAGGAAGUCCAUUCCUUUAGUGAAGGUUUGUGGCAAAAUCAUGGUACUGAGGAGGCCACAUGGGAACCUGAGGACUCGAUACGUCAACAAUAUCCUCAUCCAUUCUCAUCAGAUAAAUUUUGAGGUAAAAAUUUCUUUUAGGGGUAGAGUUGUAACGCCCUGACUUAUUUAUGUCUGUUUCUGUAAAUAUUUUAUAUAAAUGUGUAUCUGCUUUAGUGGUUAAGUGUUCUAGGUAAGUGUAUGAGGUCUUGGGUUCAAGCCUCACUUCUGCCAAAUUUUGUGAUCCAAGCCUUACCAUUAUGGAGUGGGCUUAUAUUAAAUUGCUUGCAAAUCUAUAUCAGAAUGAGCUUACUGGUUCGAGUGGUAAGGGAGUUAGUGUGUUGGAGGUUCUGUGUUCGAAUCUCUGCACGAGCGUGAAUGUUAAUAUUUUUGCUAAGUUGACUUGUACAGUCUCGAUUGAACUAAAAGUUUGAGAAGGUUAUGAGUUAGUGGAUUAAUGGGAGAAAAUAAAGGGAUAUAUAUGAUAUCUUUAUUUUUUUCAUAAUUUCCAACUAGUUUCUAUUUCUUCCAAAAUCAACUGAAGUUAGUUCUCUGAUUCUGUGCCGUUUUCCUUUUUCCUAUUCUCCCAUUCAGUUUCAUUAACUUCUUGUCAACUGUCACACAUUUGUUCUCGUAGGCUGUGUAGGCCACAUAGGCAAGGCCAAUCUGGGUAUGUGGGCCCACACAGGUAAGCCACACGGGUAUGUGGGCCAAUAUUUCUAAAAUUUCCCCUAGGGUCGUAUAGGUCAUUCCAAAUGACUAUGGGUCUACCGUAGGGUUGAUAAGGGAUAACCAAACCCUAAAAUUGUAUAUCUGAUAUUCCAAUAUUCUGUUUUAAAUAUGAUAAUGCUAUGUAUGUCUGAUUAUUUUGAUAUUUGUACAUAAGCAUGUUGAGCAUGCUCAGUAUGUUAUUCUGUAUCUGUUUCUGUAUAUGAUUGUGGGAUGGGAUUUGUAUAUGAGGAUGAAGUAUUUUGUAUGGCAAUCAUCGCCUAUAUUCUGGCAGCUUAGCUGCACAUUAUCUGACACGUGUCGUAAUGGCACGAUAUGGUGUGUAGGGAUGAGUGGAUGUUUUUAACCCCAUAUGGUGUGAUGGGAUGGUCAAAGUUGGAGUGUAGAGGAUGGGGGUAGGAUUAUGUGUUUCUGAUCUGUAUAUCUGAUUCUGUGUACUGUAUCUAAAAAGGCCUUGAGCCUGACUCUGUAUCUGUCUGCUUACAUGCUUAUUUCUAUUGGGUUACACACUAAGUUUACGAAAACUCACACCCAUUUGUCUGUUCUAUUCAGAUAAUCCACAGACUUAGGCAGAUCGGUGUGACGGAGUCUCAGCGGUGACCACUUGACCGUAAACUGUUUAAAGUUAUUAAUUUAUGGUUUUAUUUACGAUUUUGGUUUUAUUUUGAGAGUUUGUAAUUUUUGGGACUCUCUAGACUUUAUGGUUUUUAACUGUUGAUUUUUGGUUUGUUAAUAAUUUGCAUGCCUUGAUAAAUUAUUUUAUGAAAUCGAUGAUUUUUAUUCAAAAGAGGUUCUUUCUAAAAAUAACAAAUCGAGUUUCUAAAAUUUAUCACAUUUAUUAAACUUCUACUAUAGUAAGUGUUUGGUAAACAAAUUAAUUAAAUAAAUAUUUUCAGUAUAAUCAUGACGAACACGAGGUAUCAAACUGAAUGAUUUAUCAAGUUAACACCGUUUUUAAAACCCAUUCCUUGUGACAUCACCAGAUUCGACCAUAACGUCUAGGCCGGGUUUGGGGUGUUACAAAUGGAGUACUUACUUUGGAGUACGUGAGGUGUGAAAGGAACCUAACUGAUCCACUAGCAAAAGGGUUAUGUAGGGAAAUAGUUCUUGAUUCGUCGAGGGGGAUGGGUCUUAAGCCUAAUGGUUAAGGAAUUCAUGGUGGAUACCCAACUUAGUUUUCUAAGUUUAAUGUAGUCAAACAAAACCAUGGAAAAACUCAUAGUGUACAUUUUACUUAUCCCUAUGGCAAAAGUUGUACAUACAUAAGGUUGAGUUCUUACUCUUAAUGAAUUCAUAUCACAGGGUUUGGGUGGUUCUAUUGAGAUAGGCUUAAUGAAUUCACCGAUAUGUGAAGUUGAGUUUCUUACUCUUAAUGGGUUCAUAUCCUAGAGUUUCGGUGGUCCUAUUGAAACGGACUUGAUGAACUCGUCGAAUGUAAAUUUGAGAGGAUGAUCUUAAUAAAUGCUCUUAAUGAUUUCAUAGCCCUAAUUAGGGUAGUCUAUAUUGAGAUAAACUUUAUGAAAUCACCAACGUAAGUGUAAAGAACUAGCCAUCUUCUAUGAAAGCCAUUGAGCAGUCUUUCUAGAACACUUACCAGCAUCCUAAGGUGUAUUGACUAAAAAUUGUUGAUCUACCACGGAACAUCAAUUGGAUCAGAGAUUAUUAGUUUGUCAUGAGUUAACCUCAAUCUUAACAAGUUCAAGAUUCGUUCACUUGUUAAACAAAAGAAUCACACUUUUCACUACGUACUUGUUCAAAUCCAAAAGAUAUUAGUACUUAAGCGACUAAUUUCGUUGUUUCUCUUCUCACAUUUUACCUUUUCUAAUGUUUACAAAAUUUCUAAUUCUUUUGCAUUACUAGGGGAAUGUUGGUAAUAUAAAGUGGGUAAUCACAUAUUGGUUAAAAAAAAGGCUUCUAAGGGGUAAGGGAAUUUAAAUAUAGCCUUGCCUAUUACCCUUAUUGAGUAAUUGGGGUUAAAGGCCCAACACACUUGCGCCACCAUCGCUCGGUCCAUGUCUGUGUCCACGUUAAUAUGUGUCCAUGACACGUACCGCACAUGUUUCUUUUUUAAUAAAAUUUAUGUUCCUUUUAUUAAAAAUAUUUUCUGGCUAUUGCAUAAUAUUUUCGGUUGAGGAAAAUCCUCUUCUAUUUUUAAAAAAUGACAGAAAACAUAUAAAUAGCAGGUCAUUCGUGUCAUUUUACACAACAACAAGCAAACAUGAAUCUCUUCUUUUCCUUUCUUAGCUCGCCUAUUUUCUGUCCAGAAAACUUUCCGGACAAAUUUUCGACCAAGUUUUUAACUUUAGUUUCCAGUCUAUUUUUCCGAAUACUUGUGAGAAGAGUAAUACCAUUUUUGCUCCACUUUCUUUAUUCAGGUGUAUGAAUAUUGAAGUACUAUGUUAACCUUAGGGGGCGAUGCCCACUUAAUGAUUACAUCGAUCAGAGCAGAUUUGCUUCUAAGGCAGUAGUUCUUUCAUGGCAUAGUGAUUAUUUUAUUUAUCCUGUCAGAGCUAACUAUUUCGUUUUCUAGUAGUAUAUUUCCAACAAAGAAAACACUCAAAUCAAGGGGUGAGGGACAAUGGUGCUUAGAUAGCUGCAUAAGAGGUGGAGCUUUGAACAAAGAGUAGUGGGAAGGGUUGCGUAAUCCUAUGAGUCCGUGUUGCUCGAUUGUGGCGAGGGGUCUAUGGAGUUAAGAUGGGUGGUGAAAUGAGCAGUGGUAGCUACAGUUGUGACGGUGCUAGUGAAAAAAGGCAGAGCCACUGUUAAUAGCAAAGGUGAGGACUCCAUUUGAAGAUGUUCAGCUAGAGUGGAAGGAAUGAGUGAUUUGGAGAGAGAGAAUAAAAUUAAAGAGAAAAGAAAGAGAUGAUUUAAAUUGAUAUGGAGUUACAUAUUUUAGUAUGACCUUAGAAAUUUGGUAUAGCUAUUUUUGUGGGUGCAUAAUAGAAUUAUCAUGAAGUAUAUGCAUAAAUUGUUUGUUUAUUUCUUUUUCUUUGAGUUUAGAAUAUUUUAAAAAACCCUAAUUUUUUUUUAUUUUCCUUUAGAUUUUUCAAAUUAACAAUUAUGACCACAACCUUAUAUAUCUAAUACUUAUAUUUAAGCACUUUAUUAAAUUGGUAUCACAUUUAACUGAAUCAUCAAUUUAGUUAUGAAAUUACAAAAAUUUCUUUUUGUAAAAUUAUAAUUAAUAUUAUUUUGAUGACAUUUUAUUUUUUUUCACAUUUUUAUAUCAUCUUUAAAUAAAAUUACUAAAAUUAGAAAUACAAGGAUCAAACAUGUAUUCAAUAAUAUUAAAUACAAAUUCAUUAUUGAAUAUCUUUUUAACAAAAAAAAUAUUUAUUUCACCUACAUUUUUAAAUAAAUAAUUAUUUUAAUAGUUUGUUACUCAUUUAAACUAUUAGUAAUUGAUGUUUUUGUUUAAUAUAUAAGAUUAUCGUAUUUAUGUUGGAUUUCAGGAUUUGGUAAAUGAUGGAUUGUAUUUUUAAUGUUUAUUUAUUAAUAUAUUUGAGAUUUUUUAAUAUCAUUUAUUAAAUGUGUAUAAAUAUAUUAAAUAAUUUUAGAAAAUACAAUAAAAUAUCAAUAAGAAAAAGUCAUAUAUCCACCAAUGCAGUAACGAUUAGUAGCCAUAUUCAUGAUUCUACUAAAUGAAAAACAUAUUUUGAAAAUUUUUUGGUUCAUAUAUUUUGAAUUUUAAAUUUAAAAAUUUGAACGUGGGAGGCAACGCUUCUAUCAUUUCGAAAAUGGUUAGCGUGCCAUGUGGUGUGCAUUAACUUUUGUGUUUAUAUAUUCCUAAGAAAAACUUUUCUAAUGAUUUGAACAAAUUAAAAUGUAGUAAUUUUGAAAAUUAUUUAAAAUGGUUUAUUGAUUGUUUCACCUAUGCCAAUUUUUAAAAUAUUUUUUACAAUAAUAAAACACAUUUUUUAAGAAAAAAUUUAAAUCAAAACUCACCUUUAAACCAUAUCAUUUUUCACUAAAAUAUUUAAAUUUUUUAUUUAAACUAUCAAUUUCAUCUCAUUUUUACUCAUAAAACAUGAUAUUAGCCAAUAAAAAUAUGAUAUGUGACACGUCUUUGUUCGACAUUGUAUAAUCUUAAAAUAAAAUAAGUUGAAAUUAAUUAUUAAAGUACCACUUUUAACUUAAAAAAUGGAUAAAAAAAGAGGGUAUAGUUUUAAGAGUCAAAUUUAUAAAUAACACUAAAAAAGGACACUACAUUAGAUAAUAUAUUAUAUAUGACAAUAUCAUUAUCUUAAAUUUAAUAAUUAAUAAUUUCAUUCAUCUAACAAAGUUAUUAUAUAUAAUUUGCUCAAAAAUAUUAUUAUAAUUACAUGUACAAUCACAAAUAAAUAUAAUUUAAUUUUUAAAUAAUAAUAAUUAUAACUAAAUAAUAUAGAACACAAUUAAAUUGAAAGACCAAAUACAUUCUAUCUUAUAUCAAAACCUAGGUAUGAUAGUAAAAGAAACCUACACGUGGUAUUUAAGCAUGAUUCGGUUGGAACCUAAAACAAGCUAUUUCAUCCAAGGACUCAACUGCAAAUUCUAAUUACUUUCAUUUUAAACAAAGAAAUAAAAUGUUUCACUACUUUUUAAAGUAAGUGAAAGUAUCUUUUCGAUGAUACACAAAGAUUUGCGAUGGUAUACUUUGCUGAUAAAUAUAUGAAAAGCAUUUUUCGAAUUAUUUAGAUGUAAUAAUAUUCUAUCUAAUAAUAUUUAAUAAAUAUAUCAUAAACGAAACUAUUCACAACCCAAUAAGUUCCUUUAAACUAAAAUGUUUUUAUUAUUAUUUGAAAUUACUUCAAUAUUAAAUAGACAUUUACGAAAUACCUUUUUUAUGUAUAGAUAUUUUGACACUUAUAAAUAGUGAGGUCUAUGUAUAGUUAAAUCACCACAGAAUCGAUACUCUUAUUGUAAGGAGAAAAGUAUUCUGAAGUACAACACAAUACUUCAAUACUUAUGAGUGUCGAGUUUAAGCUAGUCAAUUUUGAUAGAAUAUUUAUUAUUUAUAGGCUCAACAAUCUCAUUUAACACAAGGAUCCUCUCCUACGGAUACCCCCACUCCAUUCUCUUUUAUUUUCACUAAAAAUUCUCUCUAAAAACCUAUCAAACUCUCCUACUUUGUAAAAAAAAAUCUUAAAUUUUCUACUUCUUUUCCCCAAAAAUUGGUUUUUUUAAGGUCCCAAGAAGAACAUAUAGUUUACCAUGUUGUUAAUAUGGUAAAAUACUUAAUUUUUUAUUUUAUUAUUAUGAAAAUAUUUAAAAAUUUUGUGAACUUAAAUAUAUUUUAAAUAGCAAAAAGAUCAAGUUGUUCGUGCUCAACAUAUUUAAACUUCCCAGAGCCAGUUGGACAUAUUCAAGACCACAUAAAGGGUGAUGGUCUUUUGUGGUAUCUACAAUAAAAAUGUUUAAGAUGAUAACGAAGUUGCUUGUUGUCUUGUUGGAAAGAUUGGAAACCAAACACACAUACAUAUUCCAUUUUCCACUCAACGAAGUGACUAUAAUCCUAGAAGAUCCAAUUUAAUAAUCAACCUUCUAAUCAAUGGGAAGGUGGUAAUUGGAGAUAAUAACAUCGGCAUAAAGUUAGAGUGUUAUUUGUAUUUGGGUGCUAUGUUGUCUAAGAAAAAGAAAGAAUUUGAUAAGAAUCAAGAUAAAUAUGCCAGAGCUUGGAUUAAUAUGUGGAGAAGUUGGACCAAUAUGUUAGAGCUUGGAUGCUUCGUAUGAUAGGAGUAAUGCUACUUCUAAAUAAGUCUGGAAAUAAGGUCCAUUACGUUUAUCUUCCUUUACUAACUUUUUUUACUACAACCAACACAUUCAAUAGGGGGUCAACGACUAUGGUGUAUCUGUACAUGGCAUCAUGAAGGGAAACUUAACAUUUGUUUAAUGAAAUAAACAAUUUUUUCUUCGAUCUACAAACUUGGGCACGACUAUGGAUAUCAUGAUUAGCACUUAUCUCUUCCUAGCCAUGGGAGUUCCCUCUUAUUUGAAGGGAAAAAAAUAUAAUUGUACUGAUAUAUUCAAAUUUAUCAAUAUUUAUAAUUUUCAACUAUAUUUACUAUAUGAACAAACUUACAAGUCAUUUAGACCAUAACAAUUAUAUAAAAAGGACCUUGUUUGGAUAUGAUAGGAAAAUAAUCAAGUACCUAGUCAAGAUUUAUGUUGAUGUUAUAUUAGUAUUCAAUAUAGGUGAUUAUUCUUAUAAAUGAAUAUAAUUGUAUUUACUAUAAAGUUUACAAUUCCUAUAGUUUUUGUACAUGGCAAUCAUUAUCGUUCUACUCAAGUAACGCACGAGCAUUCUGCAUUUUGAAGGUCUUUGGUGCCUAUAAUUUGUUUUUAUAUAUUGGAGUAACACCAUCUUAAACGAGUGAAGUGUAAGUUUAGGUUGGCUUAAGAUAUUGUGUAUGACCCAUAUAACCUCAAUCGGCUUUGUAAGACAAAUUUGAAAGGAUAAUAUAAACAUUGGCUCAUAAAGUAUGCAUAGUAGGUUCUGACUUAAGAUCAGGGAGUUGAGCAUUUCAUUUAUGGUAACAUUAUCUAAUAUGGUAAUUUAUGACCCUUUGAAGCAUACAUGCGAUGGUUUAUGUAAAUAGGUCAAGUGUGGUUCUAUGCGAAAGGAGAAUAUAUGGUACUUGGUGAACUAUGCACACCAUCUAGCUGCCAAUGAGCACAUCAGAAUGUUAAGAUCAAGUUCUCUCAAUGUAUUGAUUAUGUCUAUAUACUUGUAAAUUUUUCAAAAAAAUUGGUUUAAAAAAUUCCAUCAUUGUCAUUAAUAUCUUUUGUAUAAUAUCCUUAAAUGGUUUUUCCAAGCAAAGUAAAAUGAAAAAAAAAUAUUAGCUCAUUGAUUAUCUAACGUUUAACUAAUACUAAGUUGCAUUAUGUAGUCAAAACAUAAUGCGAAAAGACAACUUAUAUUAGUAGAUAAUCUAAACAAGUUCAUAGUCUAGUCGAAACUGAGCAAAUCGAUUAAAAGACUAUUAUGUCGUCUAUCAAAUCCAAUUAGGGAGAUAUUUUAUCUUAGGUAUCAGAGUAGAUGACUCCUAGAAGAUUUAGACAUAGAUGUGACUACCUGGAUUGACAAUAUAGUGGAUAGGCCCAGAGUAGAAUAAAUCUAAGAUACAUUUAUGGAUUUAUUCCCUUGUGACGUUUAUAGUGUGAUUUACCUUAAUCAUGAGUAAGUGGCAGUCUAUGUAUGUGUGACUCAUAUACUUUAAUAUAUUAAAAGUCUAAGUUUAACUGAUAAUAGAACCGAAAGCUGGUAAGUAGCUAUAUGACUUCUACCUGACAUAGCUUCAGUUACAAUAGUGGAAUUCAAAGCCCAAUUAAGAGUAAAUGAUAUCCUCUCAUUGCCAUUAUAUGAUAGAUGAAAAGUGAUCUACUAUAAUUUGAUACGUCAAAUUAGGCUCCCCAAUACACCUGAGGAGCUAAUUUCCAAGCAAUUUAAGUAUCUUUUAUAUGUUUUUGUCAAUUUUUAGCUUCAAGCAUUAAUAAAUGUUUUUGCUUAGUUUUGCCCUUGUUAAGACCCCAAUUAGACAAAUGGUGUCAUAGGAAACCUAACAAUGUGAUUGAGUUUGUGUAGGGAGACGAUAAUGGCCCAAUCUCAAGGAAAGUAUCAUUCAGAAAAGGUGUCGCAGCACUGAUUCCAUAAAAGUCGUAACACCUAGACCUUUUACCUUGAAGAUGCGAAACUUCAACACAAAAUCAACAUAGAGCAUAUUUCCAUGGGAGUCGCGAUAUCAAGGGAUGGAUGUCGAAACACCAAGCCAACGUAACGGUAUCGAGCCUCUAAAGUCGUGAUAUCCGUGAAUGUGUUGAAGUGAAGAAAUUGAGGCCAACUCCAAUAAUUUUGUGACACCGAGACAUCCAAGAUCCAUAAGUUCAUUAUUGUCUAUGUGUAGUGUCGUGUGUGAAAUGAUAUGCGAAUUGUACAAGUAUAUAUGUCCAAUCAAGUAAUAAAGUGAUAAUUACAACCUAGGGGCAAUCAGAGAAGAUUGAAGAAAAUAAUUGAAGAACGCCAUCAGAAUCAACUUGGAAGCGGAUCUCCCUCAAGAUCGAAGAUCUCAAUUUAAUAUAUUUUGAAGUUUUAUUAAGAUUCUUUAUGUCUUGUGGUUAUCCUAACUUUAAUAUGUUUCUAUUCAGGGUUAUGAACUAAAUUCCCUAGAUACCUAGGAAGGAUGAAACCUAUGAUGAAUCUUAUUAUUUAAUUUCUAUUUUUACGCGAUAAAUACUUGAUUCUUGUUCUCAAUUAUGUAUGUUUAUUUUGUGUUUUAAUAUUUUUGAGAUAUUAAUUCAUGUUUAAUGUGCUUAUUUCAGUGGAGCAAAAGUCCCUGUUUAAGAGUAGAUCUAGGAUAAUUGAGUGGAGUUGCAUGCAAUCCUAGAAAUAAGAAUUAGAGUCAAAUCUAAUAGGGGAAUCCAUAGAUCGAGUUAAUGUGAUGAUAGGGGUUUUAACUAGAAAGAUAUUUCAAUUAAUCAACCUUGUGUCAGUUGUUCUUACUCUUGAAAGAGAUAUUAACAUAAUUUAGAGAGUUCUACGGAUCAAGACACAAGUAAAUAAAUCAUUUAAUUCAAAUUCAUAAUAAAAGGUGAAGUCUAGGUAGAUUCUUUCCUAGGUAUUGUCUUUCUCAUUGGUUAUCUUCGAUUAUUUUCCUAUUUCAUUCUCCGUUGUGUUCUUAAUUAAAUUAGCUUAAUAAAUUUAGAUUAAAAACAAUCAUUCCAAUUUAUCAGCUAAAUAAUAGAAAAACGGUAAUUUCUAGUACUUUUAGUCAUCGUAGAUAUGAUAUUCCCUACUUACCAUAGCUAUACUAUUGUUCGAUAGAUGUACUUGCCUUUUUCAUAAUUAUAGUUAGUUUAGUGACCAUCAAGUUUUUUGUGCCGUUUCGGGGAUUAAAAUAUUAGGAAUACUCGAUUUUUAUUAAUUUAUCCAUUUUUAUUUUAUUAUAUUUUUAUUUUUAGUUUAAUUUUUGUUUUCUAAUUUUUCUUUCAUUUGCUUCUAGCAGGUUCCUUUAGUUUAUGAAUAGAAAAAGCCAGUCAGGACCAUUAUUAUUUGACAGUAAUAUUGCAAGUACAACUCGUAGAAAUCAUAGAGAAGCAAGGCAGACUCGACAGAGUAUAGUAGACGAGAAAAAAGACGUUAUUAUUAUUACUGAGGAGAUGUGUGAUAAUCAGAAUAAUUAGCUACCUCCUGCAGCUGCUGCAAAGCCAGAUCAUGUUCCUCGUACUAUAUAGGAUUAUGCCAAGCCAACUCUAAUUGGGGUUGAAUCGAGUAUUGUGAAACCUACUAUUGCUACAAAUAAUUUCAAACUAAAGUCAAAUGUUAUUCAGAUGGUACAACAAUUUGUUCAGUUCGAUGGUUUGUAAGACGAAGAUCCAAAUACUCAUUUGGCUAAUUUUCUGGAAGUCUGUAAUACUUUCAAGAUAAAUGGCAUUUCUGACGAUGCCAUUCACCCACGUUUAUUCCCUUUCUUAUUGAGGAACAAAGGUAAACAGUGGUUGAAUUCUUUACCACGAGGCUCUAUCACUACAUGAGAUCAAAUGAUCGAUAAAUUCCUACUGAAGCACUUUUCACCGGCUAAGACAACUAAGUUGAGAAAUGAUAUCUCUUCCUUUUGUUCAGAUUGGCUUAGAGACCUUAUAUGAUGCAUGGAAGAGGUAUAAGGACUUAUUGAGACAGUGCUCUCACCAUGGGUGAUAUAUUUUUAUCUAGAUAUACAAGAUCUUAAAUACAAAAAUAAAAGACUAAACACAACUCAAAUUUUCUCCUGGGUCCAUAAUUAAUCCUAUGUAUGGAUCCUUAGGAUUGGUGUAUUCUUUUCUAUCCUAUAUACCACGGUUUCGGAUCAUGGAUCGAGCCAAGCAUCACAACUUCUUCUACCCAUCCUGUAUGUUGUCCUUUUGGCUCUUACCUAAAUGGCUAUAGGUUCAAACUUUCUACAAUGGUUUGAAUCCUUCAAUUAGGAAAUUGAUCGAUGCAGCAACCGGUGAGACUCUAAAUAAUAAAACACCUGAAGCGGCUUAUGAAUUUAUAGAUGAGAUGGAACUGAAUAAUUAUCAAUGGCUAGUCAUGAGGAUGAAGUCAAUGAAAGCAGCCGGUGUUUUCAAUUUAGAUGCAGUCACCAUGUUAUCAAAUCAGGUAGAACAAUUUAAUAAGAAAAUUGAUGGCUUAUAUGUUUCUACGCAGGUAAAUCUGGUGAUGCAGUGCGACGCAAAUGGAGGUGGAAUGAACAAUCUAGAAUGUUUACCCUACGGUCCUAACACAGAGAACGAACAAAUAAAUUAUAUGGAUAAUAAUUCUAGGCCUCAAAACAACCCUUAUAGUAAUACUUAUAAUGCAGGUUGGAGGAACCAUCCCAAUUUCUCUUGGGGUGGUCAAGGAAAUCAGAAAGCAUAACCCCCUCCAGGCUUCCAACAACAACCUUACCAGCAAGAGAAAAGCUCGAACCUUGAGGAGAUGUUGACGAAGUUUAUUUCAAUGUUAGAAACGCGUUUUCAAAACACUAAAGUAGCACUUAAAAACCAACAAGCAUCACUUCAAGGACUUGAGAACCAAAUUGGCCAACCUACUAAGUUAAUUUUAGAAUGACUAUAAGGUAGUUUGCGUAGCAAUAUUGAAACUAAGCCAAGGGAACAACUUCAUGCAAUUACUGUGUGAGAUGAAGAAGGGUUAGUUGAAUCUGAAUCAGAACCGAGGCAAUAAAGUGUGAUAAGUAAUGGUAAGGUUGAGGUAAGCCAGAAUAAGAAAAAACUGGUUGGUAAAGAAUAUAAACCUCGAGUGCCAUAUCCUAACGCGAUGAAGAGAGACCACACGAAUGAACAAUUUGGUAAAUUUCUUAAACUUCCGAAAAAAUUACAUAUUAACUUACCGUUUAUUGAAGCUCUUUCGUAUAUGCCCAAUUUCGUUAAAUUUUUAAAGGAGCUUUUGGUGAACAAAAGGAAGUUAAAUGAUUCGUCAACUAUGGAGCUAAAUGUAGUUUGCUUAGCCAUACUACAAAAUAAACUACCCAACAAAUUGAAAGAUCUAGGGAGUUUUACUAUUCCUUAUUUAGUUGGUAGUUUGAAUGUUAAUAAUGCUUUGGCUUAUUUAAGGGCUAGUAUUAAUGUCAUGCUUUAUAAAAUGUUUAAGUAAUUAGGUCUUGCAAAACCAAAACAAACUAGGAUGAAUAUUCAAUUAGUAGAUAGAACCAUUAGAUUUCCUAGAGGUGUUAUUGAAUACGUAUUUGUAACAAUUGAUAAAUUCAUAUUCCUAGUUGAUUUUGUUGUUUUAGACAUGGAUGAGGAUAGUGAUGUACCUCUGAUUCUAGGUCGACCCUUUUUAGCAACUGUUAGGACUAUUAUUGAUGUUGGUACAGGUGAAUUAAUACUCCAAGCUCAUGAUUCUAUUAAGACAUCUAGUGAUCGAGAUAAUUUUACAAGUUUUGCUAAUAUGAGUAACCAUGUGGCUCAACCUUCUUUGCAGGAAACCUCUGAGAAAAACGCAAUGGAGCCAUGUUCCAGUAAAUACGAUAAAACGACUCAUGAAGAAUGAAUGUUAUGAAUCGAUGAACUAGAUAAAUGGCGAAUACAAGUCAAUGAGAAACUGAAAAAGCACGAUGAAGAGCCAAAGCGACGCCAUGAUGAGCAUGUGGAUGGAACGAAACAAUUUAAGGUUAAGGACAAGGUACUGCUAGAUAGAACGGAUCCUCAAAUUGCCACUUUGGAGCUUGAGGCAAACGGAUCAAAUCCCUUUACGGUACUGAAUGUCUUUUCAUACGGUACAGUCGAGUUAACUCAUUUUGAAUUAGACACAUUUAAGGUAAAUAGUACCCAACUUAAAACUUAUUUUGAUAAUAGAAUUGAUAAUGAGAAAGAGGAGUUUUGACUCUGCGAACUACCGUGGUUGUGCGAAUACGAGGAAAGUUAAGCUUAGACUCUAAAUAAGCACUUAUCGGGAGGCAACCCGAGUGUUAAAACUGCUAAUUUUUUAUUUUUAUUUCAGUUUAUUUUUUAAAAUUAAUUAAUUUUCAAAAAAAAUGUUUUUGACCCACACAGCUUGGACACAUGGGUGUGUCCUAGGCCGUGUGUACUAUAAGGGGUUUGAAAGUAAGUUACACGGCCUGGCAACAUGGCCGUGUGACCCACACGGUCUAGACACACGGGCGUGUCCUUGGCCGUGUAGACUUUUAGACUUAAUUUUUUUCAAAAAAUUGAAAGAUUACAGGACCUAAAAUAGUCCACACGGCUGUGUGAAAUCUGAAACUAUUUUUUUAAAAUGUUAAAUCAAGUUAGAAAGUUACACGUGCAAGACAUGUGGCUUUGUGCGAGACACAGUCGUAUGCCACACGGCCUAGACACACGGGCGUAUCCAAGGCCAUGUAAAGAUUAGACCUAUAUUUUUAAAAAGCACACUGGCGCGUGACAUGGCCGUGUGGCCCAACACGGACCCUUACACGACCGUGCCCCCUUUUUAACUCCCAAACCUUAAAUUUAUUAUUUUAUUUUCAUCUUUCCAAAACCCCUUAACCCUAGCUGCCGCCAACCAACUCUCUUCUACCUCUCCGGCCAUCAUCAUUCCUCCCAUUGUUCACGCCUCUCCUCUUUCCCACCACCCCCAUACCCAUACCCAUACCCAUACCCAUACCCUCUCCCACUUUUCUCCUUUCCUUCUCCCUUCCUCACCUCGUUGAGCGUCCACGCCCAAAGGCCUCACUCUUCCCCUCACCUCGCCGAACCCUUUCCCUCUCCUUCACCCUCGUCACACAGUCUACACCCACCGACCACACCCUCCUCGUCCCCCUCGCAUCCCUCUUUCUCGUCUUUCCACCAAGCCGCAACCCCAUUACCACUUUUAUCCCACCCCUGUGUCGUAACCUCCACCUUUCCCCUAGCCUUGUCGUACACCACCAUGCCUGCGAUGACCACCAUCGCGCAACUUCGGCCACCGUCCAUUGCUCCAUCGAUUUGUACCCUCUUUAUUAUUAUUAGUAUUAUUAUUAUUUAUUUUAUUUCUUGUUUUAUUAUUUUAUUAUUUUAUUUUCUUUACUGAUUAUUUUUUUAUUUAUUAUCUUUUACUAUUAUUAUUAUUAGUCAUUUUAGUUUUCUUUUCUAGUUCUACUUGUUUACUACUCUUCUUUUAAUUUUUAUUAAAUCGUUAAUUACUUAUUAUUUAUGUCACUGUCUUAGAUUAUUAUGAUAGUUAUUGUUCUUCCUUGGUUUAUUAUAUUGAGUUAUUUUCUCACUUAUUCUCUUAAUAUUAUUAUUGUUCUUAGUAUCCGAAUUCGGUAUUUAUCCUUUCUAUUCUUCUCAUUAUUAUGUGAUCUUAUUUUUAUUAUUACUGGUAUUUCAUUAUUUUAAUUGUCGUUUUAGAUUUCCAUUUUGUUUCAUGUUUUUAUUCAUUAUUAUUUUUUCAUAAUUGAUUUUAAUAAAUAGUGUUUUAGGAGUCGAUUAUCUAUUUUCGACUGUUUGGAUGUUAAUGCCCGUCUUAGGAUAAUUCUUAGUGUCGUAUUUUAAUUUACACGACCGUUUCUCAACCUCUUUGUUUGUUUGGUGAUGUAUUUUAUUUUCAGAUAGUGCAUUAUUUUAUUUCAAGCACACCAUGAUGAACACUCGCAGCAAGUCCAAGGUUAUCGUCCCCACUUUGAAAAAGCGGAAGAUCCCUAGCACGACCUACUCCUCGAGCGCUUCCACCGAGACCCGCAAUUCCUAUAUUACAUUUUUUGAGGGUCCCUAGGAGAUUUGUAUCAGCUACUUCGACUAUGACCACUCAGCUUAGGCCGAUGUAUUGAUGGGACUGUUUUGGAGCAUGUCUACUUAGUUGAUCAUGUUUGAGCCUUUAUUACUACAGCCCCGUGGGACCGGUUUUUCUCCAUCAUUGACCCCACAUGUAUGGAGCUAAUGAUCGCGUGAUUCAUAACAAGCAAUAAAUAUUUAUAAUGAAGAUCAAACCUAGACUAACUAUUAUCACAACGAAAAGGCAAGCGCACCUAUCAAAUAAUAGUAUAGUAAUGGCAAGACCGGGAUAUCGUACCCAAGGGAACCAAAAGUACUAGUAAUAACUAUCUUUUUAUUAUUUAACCUAGAAAUAAAGAGGGGUUGUUUAUUAAACUAAUUAACUAACUAAAAUAAAGCAAAGAGAAAAUUUGAAAAAAGACUUGAAGAACAGUAAUUGAUAAAGACGACACCCAAGGAGGAAUCCACCUAGAUUUCACUUGUUAUUUGACUCUGAACCAGACGAUUUAUUCACUUGACUUGAUCCGUGAGACUCCCUAACCUAUAUUAUUAUCUCUUUCGAGACUAAUAACACCUAACCCUCAGUUGAAUUAAUCGAAAUUUCUUUCUUAAUUAAAACCCCUAGGUAAGCAGUAAAUCGAUCUAUGGACUCCCAUAUUAGGUUUCACCAUAAUCCAAAAAAAUCUCAUAACCCUAUUUCUAGGCGUUCGAUCAACUCCUCUUAAUUAUGUCAAAUCUACUAUUAGACAGAGACUUUUGCUCCUCUGCAUAAGCACAUCAAAUCAUGAAUUAAUACCCGGAAUAUUAACUCAAGCAUUAAAACACAUAAUUAAGAACAAAUCAAGUAUUUAUCAUACAGUUCAGAUAAUAAUAACAAGAUCCAUCAUAGGUUUCAACCUCCUUAGGUAUUUAAGGGGUUUAGUUCAUAAUAAAAUAAGAGUAUAUCUCAAAAGUAUGAAAAUAACAAAACAUAAAGAAAACUCUAAAACCCCUGAAGGAAUUCUUAGAGAGAUCUUCAGUCUUGGAGUAGCUCCGGCUUUUGGGAUGGAUCGUUUGGCUUUCUUUAAGUAAUUCUCGGCGUGCGGUUUUGUACUCCAAAAAAUUUCUGGAGAAAGCGACCCCUCUCUAAGUCAUACUUAGGGUGUUUAUAUAGGCUUUGGAUUGGCUUUCUUCCUCCUUAAGUAUCCUUUUCCGUGUAAAAUACAACUAUUUGAAAAAGGGACACACCCGUAUGCCACGGCCGUGUGACGUGAUUGCCAAGCUGUGUUCGAUCCGUUAAAUUGUACACGGUCGUGUGGGUCAAUGGCUAGGCAGUGUGAAUCGUGAAAGCCUUGGUCAACACCCUCGAAAGACACGGGCGUGUGAGCUACCUAUGUGGCAAGGCUUAGGCCAUGUCAUCUUCUUGAUUUGGUCCAUUUUGUCUCUUUUUGGCUCGUUUUUGGCUCCUUUCACUCUCCUAUACUCUCCUAAGUGUAAAACAUGGAAUUAAAGCAUUAGGAGCAUCGAAUUUACCAAUUCUAAUGAGAAAUCAUCCAUAAAAUGCAUUAAACAUGGGGUAAAAAUAUGUAUAAAUUACGAUUUAUCAAAUACCCCCACACUUAAGCAUUUGCUUGUCCUCAAGCAAAAUCCUCAACUCAUAAUCAAAAUAAAUUCUUCUCAACUUAUAAUCUCUAUCGAUAAUAUCUCACAUUAAUCCAUAAGUAAUCAUACAUUGAGAAUUCAACUAAAAGAACAUAAAAGUUUCAAACAUUCCAAGUUGAGUAUUUAGUCAUGCAAACUUAGGUGCUUCCCUUCGUCUAAGUAAUUACCUUUGAUUCAGAAUAUCACAGAGUUUCACAUCCUCACUAAAGGUUCACUCAAAUCACUCGAGGUGUUUAAGGACAAUAAAUGAAGCACUCAAUAGUCAAUAAUGAAAAGUCAUUACCAUAGGCUUGCAUGAAAAUCAAAUCCCCACCACUAUAAUUUAAGAUGAUACAUCAAUCAAAAGGUCUUUAGAGGGUUGUAAUGAGGCUUAGUUAGGGGGUGUGGUCACAACUGAAAGAAAGGGUUAGAAUCGAUGUUAAACAUUAGAUGAUAAUCAAUGUGUCAAUAUUUGCUUACGUUUUGUUUUGCAUACAAAAAUUGUUAAGGACAUAUGCAAAUGAUAUUAAUGUAUAAUGGAAGUUUUAAAAAUUACAAACAUAAAUUGACGAAUAUACUACACUUAAGGCACUAGAUCCUAAUAAUUCCCCAAAUUUGCUCCCUUCCAAUAUGCAAAUAUUUUUCAUGAUACUUAUCAGUGUUCUUUAUAUCUUCUAAAAUUUUUUGGUCCAUCCUAAACUAAUGAAAUACCCAAUCACACCGAUGCCACUUAAUGUAAGAGAAGCGUAUAAAUAUGUACAUGUUAAAAACAUCAUUAUGAACAUGUGUGUUUAUUGGUAGUAUGAUAAUAAUCUCUUCCACCUGGUAUGACAUCCAUACAAACUGCAAAAUUAAUAAAAUAAUUGCAUUUUAAUUCAAUUGUGAUAUUGAUUAUAUCAUUAUAAUACACAAUUUAUCGAAUUAUUUGAUUCAACAUCAAUAGAUGCUACUAUAUUAUCCUUCUAGUAAGUUGUAUGAUCAUAAUGCUUGGACCACUUGUUAAAAUAUCAAAUAUUAGUACCAAUAUAAAAUUGUUUAGAAUGUAAUAUAUUUUAUAACAUAGGCUUUUGAUUUUAUCAUAUUGCAAGAGGGAAUAUGAGAUUAUUAGAAGGGAUAAACACUAUCCAUGGAAGUCGAUACCGUUACACAAUUGUGAAAUCAUAAGACAACCAUUUCUUUCAUUAUUCUCCACUUUGCAUGCCUUACAUAGCAUUUUUGUAUAGGUAAGCCAAAAACAUAAAACUCUAAUUGUAUGGUCUAGCUGUAUGCUUCAAAAUUAGAUAACAAUUAGAAAUACACGAAUGAACUAAGUUGCUAAACUUUUCAUGGAUUGGCACACCUCCAAUCAACUGAAGAAUAUAAGCUCUAGCAUGAUGUUGGAUAUCUUUGAGUGUUGUUUAUUUAAGAGAUGCACAAAGCGACUCUUCAACUAUGUUAACUUAAUUUGCAAUCAGACUUAUGGUUUAUACAUGUUCCCAACAUUGAACAAGGACCUCCACCAGAUUGUACUAAAAUAUUCUCAUUAUCGGAUGCCUAUCCACUAGAAGACUCGUUAGUAACGCUAAAUAUUUAGUGUUAUUAUUGGUUCAUUGCAUGGAGAUGAAACAUAUGGGUCUCAGGUCUUUAUCAUUCAAUUAAAUAAAAAAAAGAAUGUUAGCACAAAAGUAAAAUUAUUAAUUUGAUGUGAUAAAAAUCAUCUUUUAAGUGAAGAAUGAUUUUGUCAUCUAAUGCAUUCAUCUCUACAUUACUAGGACAACAAACCACUAGAAAACACUCUAUUGUUAUAGCAUUUUAAGUAACAUAUCCUUCUUUUGAUCUCAAUAAGGGGGCAAUCAUUAUAGUAUGCUUCAAAAUUCAAAGUUACAAAUCUUGGGUAUAUAAGAUAGUAUAAAAUAUAGAUAGAGAAUAUUUUAGGUUUCUAUGAAAAUCAAACAAGUGGAAUGAAUUGUUUAUAGAUUUUAAUAUUAGAGCUUUUACUAUGACCUCGAUAGCCAUUUAUGACGAGGUCUUGUUAAAUUUAUAAUUUUUUUAGGGUAAACUACACUAUUAGUCAAUAAACUAUGAGUAAGUUUUUCGUUUUGGUCACUUAACUAAAAAAAGUUACAAUAUGGUCAUUGAAAUAUUCAGAACUUUUCAUUUAAGUCAUUGGACUGUUAAAAUCAAUACUAUAUGGCUUUCUUUAUUUGCAUUGCCUACACUAAUCGAAAGCUUUCUUUCCUCUUCUCUUUUAAGGUUCAUUUUUUUAUGAGACAACUUUGAAUGUCACGAAUCUGCAAAUCGAAAUUUAAACAACUUUUUUCUUUGAUCUCCGACACUGAUCGUUAAAUCAACUUAGACCUAAGAUAUGUUCUUCUACUCGUCGAUGGGUACUGAUCCACUGUACUAACCAUUGAAUUGCCUCUUGGAGCUUGUUGGCAAUAUUUUUUUUUAAAGAAAAACUUAGCAGCCUAAUGAUUUAAAUGAAAUCUUUCGAAUGGUCCGACAACUAAUGGUUUAAUGACCAAAAUGAAAACUUAUCCCAUAGUUCAGUGACUAAUUGUGUGGUUUAUCUAGAGGUGUUCAUGGGUUGGAUUGAGCUCAAGAUAGGCUUAAGCAUUAUAUUAACACACUUUAUACUUGCCCAAGCUUGGCCUAGCCUGAUCAUGGACAUAAAAUUUUGCCCAAGCCUACCCAUGUUGGAAUUAGUUGACCUAAGCCCAUUUAGGCCUGCCCAUAUUAUUUUUAAAAUAUUUUUUUAUUUUAUUUUAAUAUUUAAUAAUUAUAUAAUUUUUUAUUUAUUAUAGUUUUAUAUAUAGUCAUCUUAAUUUUUUUAUGUUUACAUUAUAGAAGUAUUAUAUAUUACUAUAUAUCUAAUUUUUAUGUGUUACAAAUUAGAUAAUAUAUAAAAACAGUAUAAUAUAAAACAUUACAAACUUGAAAAACGAAUCGGGUUGAGCUUAGGCUUUGAAUGUUAAGCCCGAGCAAGACCCAUAUUUUAAACUAACCUAAAUUAUUUCUUAAACUCAUUUUCGAGUCUAAUAUUUUUACCCACACUAUCCUAAAUUUCGAACAGGUCUUCAACUUUGGACAAGUUUAAGUUUACUUUUUUUUUCAACAAUUAUGAUUUAUUUUUUAAAAAUUUACAAAUACUUUAAUUUUUGUAAAUAUCAUCCUUUACAAAUAUAUAAAUGGUCACAAUUUAAAAUUUUAAAUAUAUUUAUUUUAAUACUUCUAUACCAAAUUCUUUAAAAUUUUUUUUAAGAAAACUAAACAAAUUACAAGAAAAGAUAAAAUAUGAUGCUAGAAAGAAUGCAUCUCCUGUGCUCAACCUCAUCCAACCAGUUCUGUUUUGCAUCAUCAUUGACUUUAAAUUUUAUCCGACUUUUGACUUUCACUCCAUCAGAAACCAAAAUGAAGGAGUGAGCUCAAGAAUAGUAUUAUGAGGAUGGAAACAGCAUAUAGAAACUUAAUAGUGGGAGGCUAUUUUGUUCAAAGUGAAAGACGGGCAAAUAAAAAUAAUAAAGUCGAGAAAAAAGCCAAAAUGAAAUCCGAUUUUGAAGUCCGUCGUUCUGGACAUUUCCAAGAAGAUCAAAAACAAAAUAAGAGCCUGAAAACUCUUCAGUAUUUCUCUACGGUUUCCCUCACCGUAACAACCCUGUGGCUGUUUUCUUUUCUUUAGUUUAGUUAGAUUUUGUUGAUGGGCCAAUCAGUUUCGGCGGCGAAGCUAAGGAGCCGUCCAGAUUGGAACCAUCGCCAACGGUCAAAACCGAAAUCAACGGCUCUGAUCUGUCCGAUGCAAGCUGAGGAAACUGAAGAGCUUGAACGAAGUAACACAGAUGAAUCGUCGGAUUUCAUCUCGGAUCUUCCUGACGAGUGUUUGGCUUGUAUUUUCCUGUCUCUUAGCCCCGCUGACCGAAAACGAUGCUCUCUAGUUUGCCGGCAGUGGCUUCUGAUUGAAGGACAGAGCCGUCACCGAUUAUCUCUCAACGCACAAUCAGAUCUGCAGCCUCUCAUUCCUUCUAUCUUCUCUCGUUUCGAUGCUGUUACGAAACUGGCUCUGAAAUGUGACCGUAGAUCUGUUAGCAUAGGCGACGAAGCGCUUGUUCUAAUCUCCGAGCGUUGCCGGAAUUUGACUCGCCUUAAGCUCCGAGCUUGCCGUGACUUGACCGAUGCAGGAAUGUUGGCGUUCGCUAAAAACUGCAAGGGUCUAAAGAAGCUCUCCUGUGGUUCUUGCGCUUUCGGAGCCAAAGGCAUGAACGCUGUGCUCGACAAUUGUCCAGCACUCGAGGAACUCUCCGUGAAACGACUUCGUGGCAUCACCGACGGCGCUGCAGCUGAGCCGAUUGGGCCUGGGGUGGCUGCGGCGGCGUUGAAAACAAUUUGCUUAAAAGAGCUUUAUAAUGGGCAGUGUUUUGGUCCGCUUAUUAUUGGUGCAAAGAAUCUGAAAUCUUUGAAACUUUUUAGAUGCUCUGGCGAUUGGGAUAAGCUUUUCCCACUCAUAGUGGAACGGGUCGCGGGUAUGGUAGAGAUCCAUAUGGAGCGGAUCCAAGUCAGCGAUGUCGGUCUUGCGGCUAUCUCCAACUGUUCAAAACUAGAAAUUCUUCACCUCGUUAAGACUCCCGAGUGUACAAACGCCGGACUCGGAGCUGUUGCAGAGAAAUGCAACUUGUUAAGGAAGCUUCACAUUGAUGGAUGGAAAGCAAAUCGAAUAGGUGACCAAGGAUUAAUUGCUGUUGCAAAAUCUUGCACCAAUUUACAAGAAUUAGUUCUUAUUGGUGUUAAUCCCACCAAACUGAGUUUGGAAAUGUUAGCUUCUAAUUGUCCAAAUUUAGAACGGUUAGCCUUAUGCGGUAGCGAUACAGUUGGUGAUGCAGAGAUAUCGUGUAUUGCUGUGAAAUGUAUUGCCUUAAAGAAGCUUUGUAUCAAGAAUUGCCCUGUUUCGGAUCAUGGCAUGGAAGCGCUUGCUAGUGGUUGCCCUAAUUUGGUUAAAGUGAAAGUGAAGAAAUGUAGAGGAGUUACUUCGGAAGGGGCAGAUUGGUUAAGAUCAACUCGAGGAUCACUUGUCGUUAAUUUGGAUAUCAAUUUGGAUAUAGGCGAGCAUUUAGAUGCAAGUGCCAGUGAUGGUGGGGUACAAGAUAAUGGAAUUGAAUUUCCUCCAAUGGUGGGCAGUCAAAUUGGAGCUUCUAGUAUUGCAUCGAGCAGUACAGGUCGAUCGACGUCAUUCAAGUUGUUAGGGCUUAUGAGUGGGAGGAGUUUUGUGGCUUGCACAUUAAGGAGGUUGGCAAGUAGUUCUCGGAGUUAACUCGGAAUUGCAACAACAACAAAAAGAAAAAGAGUGAAAAUAGAAAGCACUCUUGGUAUUGAACUGUUUGCAUUAUUUUUCUGUUGGUAGUUCUCCCUUUUUUGUGUAUUUAAUUCAAUUCUGUGUGCUGAUGAUUGCCUUUUGAAUUCAAUCUUCAUCUUCAACAUUUUAUAGUUCUCAAUUUGAUCUGUUGGUUUGUAGUUCCUUUAUUUAGCAAGCUCUGUCUAUGUCUUCAUUCUUCUCAAACAUAUUUGUCCUAUACUGGAAUUUAAAGAACAUCUUUCUGAUUAAUUUGUUUUAUCUCUUUAUUUGGUCCGUGUUACAAAAUACUUGCAUACCAACAUGCAUGUCCUCCAAAUGCAUACUUGUAUCCUAAAAUUCAUCUUAUUAGAUAGGAGGAGGUUUGUUUCUCCUGUUAUAUGCAAUUUAUAUAUAUAUAUAUCAAUUGAGUUUUAAAUAUUUUAAUUGUUUGUUGCUGAAUGUUUUAAACAUGAUCAAUAGUAGGGAUCAGGUGUUGGAACUGAGAACCCGGUUAGACUUUUUGAUUUGCAAUAUGCAUAUCCUUAAUGCAAAUCAAAGCCGGAUUCAAACACCAACGUCUUGAUUCUUUGGAAAAAUGAUUCUUUAAUGUUAUUUUUGGUUUGAUGUGAAAAGAUCUGAUGAAUGCGACCGCUGUAUGAAAUUAGUAAGUUCUCUGAUUUUUUUCUAAGUGAAUUACUGUUAAAAUUGCUUUGAUGUUACAAAAGCCAAUUUUUAUGAUGGUUUAUUAUGAUGCUUCUGGUUGAUCAUAUUUUGCAAUGACUUGUUGAGCUGCAAUAUGAAGUGGUUAGGAAUUGAGCAGUUUAUCGUCUUUAAAUAGAGAACAAUUUUUUUUAUUUAAUUUCUAUUACAGGGGACACAGUCACAUGUCUCAGGGUACCUCUAAACAGUUCUAAGCUAGUUAGAUUACAUUUUGUUCUCUCAAUUGAAAAAAUGGGCUAAUUAGUUCCUAUAUCUUAGAUCAAAAAGUGAAUUUAUCUUUCUUGUUAAAUGUUUCACCCAUUUGUACUAUUAAAAGUAGAUGUGGUUAACGAAAUAACUAUAAUGGCAAAUAAUGACAUAUGACAUGUUUUGUGUACCUUAUGUUGGUAAAUAUGGACUAGAUUUUAAAAGAAAAAAUGAAUAGAAUUUAUAAUAGAAGAAUCAUUUUAAUUUUUUGACCUAUGGAUUAAUUUAUUUUUUUAAUAAAAGGGAUAAAAUAUAAUCUGAUUUUUAAGUUUAGUUAUAGUAUUAUUUUUUGAAAGUGUUUUUGCAGAAAAAAUAUAUUUUUGAGAAGUUAAAAUUUUUAAUUUUUGAAAAAAAAAAGUAUUUUUAUCUAAUUUUUAGCUCGAGAGAAAUGUUUUUUCUCUAAAAAAAAGUAAUUUGUUGAAGAAUAUUUUUAUCUCAAAAAAGUGUGUAUUUUUUAGAAGUAAUACUAAAUUAGGGGGUUUUCAUUAUACAAUUACUUUUAAGUUUCUGACCAUGUUGCAUUAUACAUAAAGUUUCUGACAAUGUGUUGGCAAAUUCAGGGUUGAUCUUGUUAAGCUAAGCACGGAAUUGUUGGUUUAUAGUAAUGCUUUUAUUUUGUCAGCUUGCCUACCGCUGAAUAAUUCCAAAAUAUAGGUAGUUUUUGUUGUUGUUUGAAAUUAGAUUUUUUAUUUAAAUAACCCAAAUAAUUUAAUUAACUAUUAAAAUGAUCUUUUUUUAAUUAAACACGAAAAUGAUCUUAAAUCUAUAGUAAAAGUUGGUAGAACCAAAUUAUAUGGCGUUACCAACUUGUCACGUCAGCAGGGAACAUAAAAAAUUAAUUUUUUGGUGAAAUCAUGCAGAAUAGCACCACCUGUAUAAAUAUUAGGGAAAUACUAUAAUUUCUAGAAAAAUAGGAGAUUUCAAAACAAUUUUUCAUUUUCUGGUGGAGCUAAUUUUUUAUUAUUAACUUUAAAAAAUUUGAAAUGUAUAUUUGAAAUAUUUUAUAAUAUAUGUUUUUUAAAAUUUUAAAUAUAUAUUUUUGAAAUUAAUUUUUUAAAAAUUUUAAAUGUUAUUUAAAAAUUAAAUAUAUUUUCUAAUAAUAUGAAACAUUUAAACAUUUAAAAGAUAUGAUCUUUUAAAUUUAUUAAUUGUUUUUAAUUUUUAAUAAUAUAAAACAUUUAAAUAUUUAAAAUUUUUAAAUAAAAUUUUUAAUAAAAAUUUAAAAAUGGCUAAAUAUAUUUAAAAAUAAUAAUUUAAUAAAUUCUAUGUAAAAAUUGAUAUUUUUAAAGAUAUUUAAAUUUUUUAAAUUUUUUUAUAAAAAUUUUAUUUAAAAAUUUCAAUGUUUAAAUAUUAUUAAAAAAUAUAUUUAAUAUUUAAAAAAUAAUAUUUAAAAUUUUAAAAAAUAAUUUCAAAAAUAUAAUAUUCAAAAUUUUAAAAAAUAAUUUCAAAAAUAUAUAUUUAAAAUUUUAGAAAAUAAUAUUUAAAAUUUUAAAAAUUAUAUAUUAUAAAACAUUUAAAAUAUACAUUUUAAAUUUUUUAAAAUGAAUAACACAAAAUAAAUAAAAUAAUUAAACAAAAUAAAACAAAAAGAAAAAGAAAAAACUUAAAAAAAGAAAAAAAAUUAAAGAAAAAGAAAAAAGUUAAAAAGAAGUAAAAAAAAAUAGAAUUAGCGUGUCAGGUCUGCUGGUGCCAUUUAAAUUGGCUCCACCAGAAAAUAGAAAAUUGUUUUGAAGUCUUUUACUUUUUAAAAAAUUACAGUAUUUUUUCUAGUAUUUAUACAGGCGGCACCAUUCUACAUGACUCCACAAAAAAGUAAAUUUUUAUGCUCCCUGCUAACGUGGCAAGUUGGUGACGCCAUAUAAUUUGGCUCUAUCAACUUUUACUGUAAAUUUAGAGUCAUUUUGGUGUUUAAUUAAAAAAGUAAGUCAUUUUAGUACUUGAUUAAAUUAUUUGGUUUAUUUUGAUAAAAAAACAGUUUGAAAUUGGAUUCAGGACAGUGAAUGAUUUUGAAUUGGAGCCUUCCUACCCCUGCUUUCUGCCUUGGUGCUCAAAGUCUCAUAUUGGAUUAAUUAUAUUCCCGCCUAAGAAAUACAAAAUUUGAAACUUGUCAGAAAUUAAUGACGUUGCUUUUGAAACCAUCACAUUCGUAAAGUGAAUGUGAGUGCUAAUUUUUGACACAUCUUGACAUUGUGAUAUAUUUUAAUGUUUAUAAUGAUAUAUAGUACAUAAACAUUGCCAUUUGAAUGAAUUGGAGAUUGCUUCCACAUCCACAAUAUAUUUGUCAAGGUGUCUCAAUCCAUGACCUAAUAAAGAUGCUUGCUUAUCCUGUUCUUUACCAACUAAGCAUGUUUUUUUUCCUUAAUUUGGGCCGAUUACUCCAUUUACUAUUUAAUAAUAAAAAUAUUUAAUCUAUAUUACAUUCAAAAUCUUUGGCAAGUGAAUAGCAAUUUAGUAGAGGGAAAAAGAACUAGAAUUUUGAAAGUAACAAAAUUUAUUUACUCUUUGUAGGAAAAUUAAAUAAUUUAAACAACAAGUUUUUUAUUUGAAUAAUAUAAUUAUAUAAUACUAAAAUAAUGCAAAUAUGCUAACACAUAAUAGGUGUUGAGUUCCUUAUGGUUGCUCAACAAUUAUCAUAAAAUUAGUUGUGUAAUCAUUUGUUGUUCAACAUCGUUAUAAAUUUUAACAUAUGUGAUUAUCAAAAUCAUGUUAUUUUAAAUUAUUCAAUCCAACUUGACACUUGACUUUUUAGGACUGUACUUUGUUAUUAUUGAUAGAUUUGAUUUGAUAUAUUAGAAACUCAACACCAUUAGGCCUUUUUGCGAUACAUCAAACUCGACAUCUAUGAGUGUUAAGGUCAUGCUAUCUUAAGUUGUUCAAUCCCCUUCCCUUCUUAUAAAUUCUGCAAAACCAAUAAUCAUUAUUCAUUCCAAAAUUCUUUCAAAAUCCUCUCUAACAUCUACAUACCCUAAACCAUUCGAAUUACUUUCAAAAUGCGCUACAAGUCAUUUUAUCAUGUAAUUGUUUUUUCUCCAUAAUUCAUGAAUUAGUGUAACGAAAGUUUUCAUAAAUGAUUUUGGCAAAUAUUAGAUUAUUAUUGCAUUUACCAAUUUCUGAUAGUAAAUUUUUAAGUGUUUUCUAGCCAAUGUUAUGCUAUUAUUGUUGUUACUAAUUAUUGAAUAUGUUAUAUAUAUGCUAUAAGUUAUGCGAUUGUUUUUGCUUACUAUUGUAGUAAGUUACAAUUAAUUUUAUUGGAUUAUUUGUUAUCAAGAAUUGUUGAGGUUGUUAGCCUUAUUUGUAAUGUUCAAAAUUUAAUAUUUGACAACCUCAAAGAAAAAGAUGGUAGAUUAACUCAUGGCCCAAAUCCAUUUGAAGGGAUUUAUUAUUUUCAUUGAGGAAAGAGUUGUAUUUCAAUAUGAAGCUUGACAUUUAGGAAUGAUGUUACCUCAGAGUACAUGAAAUGGAGGAUUCUUAGGAAAAUUCAAGCAAGAGGUACUAAGUGGAUAUCCAAUUGAAAUAUAAAUUCAUGAGGUCUAGUAGAAUGGGUGUAAGUGUUAUAACACCAUAAAAGUGAUGAUGUUGCCAUGGAGCUAUUAGUGCAGUUCUAAUAUGUUUUUUUAUACUAGUUAUGGCAUUUUGAAUUAUGUAAGCUCAUUGACUAUCUUGGUGCCGACAUAUUAUUUUAAGAUUCUAUUAAUGUCAGAUACUACUGGUAUCUUUCCCGAGUACUAUACCCAAGAGUCUAUGAUGCCAUAUAUCCAUGAGUUGCAUGAACAAACGAUGGUUGUUCCAUUGUUGGGAGGAUUUGAAUUGGUCAAAGCAAAUUAUCUACAUCUUUUGGUACGUAACAAUCUCGAAUAAUUUGAGUAAAAAAUGAUGCACAACUAUCUUUUUUUAAGGCAUUCCGGAAACCAAAGCAUCAUGAUAAUGAUUUUGGUGAGCUCACUUAUAAUAGCCCGAUUUUCAGUGGUGCUGGAAAAAGUGAUUUCAAAACUUUAUUUACGGAGUUGGUAUAUUAGUAUAUUAAAGUUUAGUUUGGUAAUUUUGUUAAAUUCAUUGUUAAUUUAGGUGCAAUGACUAAAUUCUAAAAGUUCAAUCGUUAUAGGUUUUUAAUUGACUAAAGGCUUAAGGACUUAAAUUACAAUUAGCCAAAGGUCCAAAAUGAUAAUUAAACCAUUUUUCAUUAUGAAUUGGUGGAUGAUGUUGAGAGAUUCCAUUUUUUUAAUUAGUGGUUGAUUAAGUUAGUUAAAACAUAAUUAGUUUAAUUAAAUUAAGUUAAUUAACUUUUAAACAUGGUAUAAAAGAAAAAUAAGUGGUGUUUUGUCAUCACUUCCAUCUUCCUUACCGUUCGUAGUAGAAAAACCUAAAGAAAAACCAUUUUUGAAGCUCAAGCUAUUCGAUCCCUAAUUGACAAGAAUUGGAUCAAACCAAAGGUAAUUGAGGAAAAUCUAAAAUUGUCAAUUAGUCCUUGAAGAUUCAACUUGUUUGGUGUUUUGACUAGGUAUGGAACUUACUAUUCUAUUUUAAUUAUAUAUGAAUUACACUUGAAUUAAUAUUUAUAUAUAAUUGUAAGAAUUGAGUAGAAUUAGAGAAUUGCACAUGUAAUGACUCAAAAUUUAUGGGUAUUGGAAAUCGUGUUUCUGGCUUACUAUUUUCGUAAAUCGGGUUCAUAAAUAUUUAUUAGAAAUAUUUACGAAUGUUAGUUGAGUGAUUAAUUAGAUUUUGGCUAGGUGAAUUAGAAUGAAUUAACGUUAAUUUAGUGUAAGGACUAGAUUGAAUAAACUGUGAAAGUUAAAUUAUAGAAUAAAGAAAAGUGAAGGGACUAAAUUAGUAAUUAGACCCUAAGUGACAAGUGUGUGGUAAUAGUGAAUUACAUAUGGAAUAAUUAUAAAACAUAUAUUAGUAAUUAUUAUAUUUUACUUAUAAUUUAAGUAAGUGAUAUUUUAUUUUAAUUAUAUUAUUAUUAUAUUAUAUUUAUUAUAUUAGUUAUAAUAAAAGAAAUAAAAAUAAACAAAAUAAAGAACAAGAACAGAGAAAGAAACAAAAAAGAGAGAAAGAAAGAAGGAAAUAAAAAGAAAAGGGAAAAUUAGGGUUUUGAAGUUUGAAGCUUAAUUGGUAAGUCAAUUAGUCCUUUUUCUUGUAAUUUUAAUGUUUUUAGAAUCCAAGAGACAAAUAUUACUUGUUGUAAGUGGAAAUUUUGAAAGUUAGAUGAUUAUAGAUGUGGGUUACGUUGAAAUAAUUGAAGAAUUAGGGAUUUAAUUGAAUGAAUUUCAAGUUAGAAUUGAUUAAUGGAUUAAAUUGUAAAAUAAGCUAUAAGUUUUGUGUUUGAGAGACUAAAUUGAAAGAAACUUGAGAUUAGGGUUUUACCAUGAACAUUUGAUGGUUAGGGUGAAAAUGAUAGAAAAUUGAAUAGAAAUAAAGUAUGAAUUGAGUGAUAAAAGUAAAAGAGUUAAUUAGGAUUAAAUUGAAAUGAAAGUUUGAAUUAAACAGAAAUUCAAUUAUUUAUUGUAAAUUAAUAUUGUAUUAAUAGUGUAAAUUAUUAAAUUUCCGUGGCUAACAUAGUACCGGAGACAUCGACAAAGAAAGGAAAAGAGAAGAUUGACGAAGAGUAACCCGAGAAUUACAAUUUGUAUUUCUAUAAACUGAACUUAAUAAUUAACUAUUGCUUUUUAUUAUUUAAUGUGUAUGGUAAGUGAAAUUGAGGUGAAUUUGAUAUAUUGCCACUGAAUUGAAUUAUUUUGUGAAAGUAUGUGUAUGAUUGAAAAGUGUAUUGAAUUGGAAUAAAUUGAAAUUGUAUAUUGAUUGGAAAUUGAAUUAUGUAUUGAAAUACCCUAUUAACAAUGUCGGGCUAAGUCGGAUAUAGUUGACAUGCCAUAGGAUUGGAAGUGUACAGGGAUACUUCAACUUGAGUCGAUAGACACUAUAAGUGUCGUACUAUUACUUUGACUUUGAGUUGAUGAGGCACCUUGUGUUUCGUACUGUUAUUGUUACUUCGCUUUAAUCCGAUGAGGUCUUGAGUACCGUAUUGUUACUCUUUACUUUGACAAAGCUGAUGAGGCACUGAGUGCCGUACUGGUGUGUUGCUUGGAUCCGUAUAUUCGCCAAGGUCCGAGUUAUGUUAAUAGGGGUAAACUACUGUACUGAACAACUGAAUGACUUAUUACUAUACUGGACAACUAAUUGAUAUUGAUCGAUAAUGAAUUGAAUUGAAUAUUUUUUUAAGAAUGAGUUGUGAAUGAAGCUAUUGCCAUGAGAUUUGAAAUCUUAUAGUUUAAAUGCAUUUGAGUUAAUAAUUGGUUUAAGUUUUGGUUUAUAGAAAUACCACUAAGUGCAUACUCAGCGUACGGUUUGUUUCCGUGCACAAGUUAGGUACGAAAGUGAUUAACGACUCAGUAUCCAAGUUGAUCCUGAACUCAAAUACUUGGUGAUGUACCUUAUUUUGAAAAGUGGCAUGUACCUAGGUUGUCUUUUGAAGUUACAUUAAGAUAUUAAUGUUAAUAGUGUAAAAGAUGAUAGUUGUUAAUCAAUAUAUGCAAAUUUAUGUUUUAUUUUAUGGUCUUUUACAUAGUUUAAUUUGAAUUGAUUUGGAUGGUAUUUAAAUACAAUAUUUAGAAAAUAUUUAUUAGAUACUUAUAAAUAUACAUGAGUUAGAUCAUUAUAUUAAUAGUUUUAACAUGUUUUAGAUAUAAUUAAUCAUGUUUUGGAUUGGUUGAAAGAUUGGAUUUUAAGUUGCUUGUAUUUCAAGGUUCGCAGGGUUGGUAAACUUGAAUUGUAACGCUCCAAAUUUCUUAAAUUUCGGCUUUUGUAAUUGUUGAGCAUGGAAAUAACUGAACAGUUGGGUCUGUGUUAUUUUUGGCUUUAAACGUAUUGGUUUAAGUGGUUAUGUGCUCUGGGGUGUGUUUGGGAGAUCCUAAGUUCAAGCUUUAACUUGGGCCAAAUUUUGGAAUUUUAUUUGAAAAAAGCCUGACUUUAGGUUAGUGGGCUUAUAAGGAAUUGUUGGUAAAAACCUAACAAAAUGGGCCUGUUGGUCUAGUGGUUAAGUGGCAAGGGAUUACACUUAGGGCCUGGAGUUUGAUUCUCUGCAGUAGCGUUGGGAUUAUUUUUGCUGCAAGAUUUGGCUAAGAGUUGAGCUUUAUCAGAAAUCUAAAUUGAGGUUUAGGGAUAAUUAGAGCUUAUUUCCUUAUUUUUAACAAAAGUUCUUUCUCUCUGCCAUUUUCUUUUUCCCAAAACCCAUUGCUGUAAAAAAUUCCCUUCUCUUUUUCUUUCUUCUCUUCGUUUUUCUUCUUUUUCCAGCUUAGGCGUAUUGCUAACGGUUCUAUCGUUUUAGUAAGUAUCGCUUUAUCAAGUUGCGUGAUUUUCUUUGGAGAUAGUUUAAGAGGAUUUUUAUUUUUUGUUUAGGGGAUAUUCAAGGCUCUGUAGAUCAGUAAUCGAGUUCUAAACAGCAAGGAAACACUGUUCUUUAGUGAAGGUAAGUAGAUCUCUCUUUCGGGAUUUGGUAGUUCUUAAGGAUGUCAAUUUAAGUGAUUGAUUUUGGGUUCAGUAUUGUAGAUUUUAGGCUUUGGAGUGCUCGUGGUUGGAUUAGCAGCGAAAAUGAACCAGGUGUGUACUCAAAUCGAUUCGAAAUCACGUUUCGGCAAAAGUUGAAAACGCUACUGUCGACGUCACACGGGCGUGUGGACUACCCGUGUGGAGGCCGUGUGGAGGCCGUGUGGCGAUACACAACCGUGUGUUCGAAGAGCUAGACCGUGUGCGUGUGAUGGCUUGUGAUGGCUUGUAGGCCGUGUACGAGGUACGAGAUCAGGCAAAUAGGCCGUGUGGGACACAAAGGUGUGUGGGCCCAUACGGGUGAACCACACGGGCGUGUGGGAAUCUGGGCCAGGCCAUGUGAUCCACACGGGCAAAGUCAAGUUGGGCCAUGUGAGUCACACGGGCGUGUGGGACCACACGGGCAAGGCACACGGGCAUGUGAGCCCAAUUUGUUUGAAAUGUUCUGUAAGGUUGCACGGGUGGCCUAAGUCGACUAUGACCUGACUGUAGGGCUCAUACUCUAAUUGAUUACUGAAUUGUAUGCAAAAGCAUGUUAUUAUAAGCAUGUGUAUCUGUCUGAUUCCGUAUAUCUGUUCUGCCAUGAUUUUGAUAAGAUCUGAUAUCUGCAUAUAAGCAUGUCAUUAUAUGUAUGUUGCAUUGCAUUGGGUUGGGAUUGUUGUGAAGAGAAGGAAGUUUGAGAGGCGAUUAGUCUGUUAUCUGGCAGCUACGUUGCAUAUAUCCAUUAUGUACUGUAUUAUGGUACCUUUUGGUGUGUAAGGUUGGGUUGAUUAUAUCCCUAUACCUUGUGUACGGUUAGCUGGGUCGAUUCUAUCCCUACAUGGUGUGUUGGGUUGGUCGGAGAUGGUGUGCAGGGUUGGUGGGCAUAUUUUUUGAUAUCUGAUUUGUUAUGCAUGCGAUACCUGUAUGGCUAAAGCCGAACUAUUUGUAUUCUAUUGUCUUUCUGUAUGCAUGCUGUUUGUGGGGAUGUACACACUAAGUUCGCGAAAACUCACCCCUUUGUUUAUUUGUCUAUCAGGUAAUCCUCAGCAGUAGAUGGAUCGAUGUGACGGAGGGCUCGAUGGUGACCACUGUUGGACAUUUAUGGAUUUUUGAGUAACAUUCUAUUUGUCUGCUUUAUUUUAAAUAUUAAUUUCUGGGAUUAAAAUGUUUUGAACUUGAACUAUUUCUAAGUUUAUUUCGGGAUUUUAAACUAUUAAGCUAUUGAUUAAUGAGUUAAAGAUGUUUUAACUUCCGCGAUAAUGAAAUGUGUUCACCUAAUAAUUGGUUUGGAGAUUUCACGACUUAAGUAAUGAUAAUGAGUUGAACGAUUUUUAACUUGUUAAGAUUUUCUAAAAACCCUCUCAUGUGACGCCGCCAAAUUCGAACAUAACGUUUAGGCCGGGUUGGGGUGUUACAUGAAUUAUAAGGCUCAUUUUGAGUCUACACGGCUUAGCACACGGGGUGUGACCAAACUGUGUGAGACACACGGCUUACACACGGGCAUGUAGUUAGGCCGUGUGUCACCAGCUUUUUAAAUAUUGUAAACAUAAUGCUAAGGUAUGGCCACACAGGUAGAGACACGGGUGUGUGUCUCAGCCAUGUAAGGCAUACGGCCACAGAACACGGGCAUGUGCCAUGGCCAUGUAAAAAUUGCACUAGAUUCAAAUUGAAAAUAAAUCUGCACGGGCUAAGCACACAGGCGUGUGUCUUGGCUGUGUGAAACUAAUUUGUUCAUGAGUAAUAAGUCAGAGAGUUAUACGGGUAAAGGACACGGGCGUGUCCUGGCCGUGUGAGCCACAGGGAGUGAUAACAUGGGCAUGUCUUAGGGACACACGGACGUGUCUCUUAGACCACACGGGUGUAUGGGUACUGUUCAUAAGAUAAAUUUUAGAAAUUUUACGAAAAAUUUUAUAAGCUUCUGAUCGGGUUCCGUUUUGUUUCUAACAUCUUCUUUAGGCAUCGAAGGUCCAGUAAAGGGUUAAUAAGAUAAAUUAUUGAACUGUAUAAUGAAUGUUCUUACUUUAUUCAUGUUUAAUCUGUAGUGGCAGGUAAUGCUUCGUAAUCCUGUUCCGAUGCCGGAAAAGGGUUGAGGGUGUUAUAGCACAAAUGUCUUGUAUUGGACUAAAUUGUAAAUUCGUGUAAAUAUUGGUUGUAUAAAAGUAAUACAAUGUGUUAAUAUGAUCAUUGAUUGGUUAUAUGCCUCGUAAAUGAAAAAUGAAAUAUGUACAUGAUUUGAUAUUGACAUUUAUACGGAAGUAAUGCCCAAGUACACUUAGUAAAAGAUUAAGAUACGUAUGACAUGCCAUUAGGGUUAUACACAUAUUUGAUUAGGGAUUUACAUGUUAUUACGAGAUCUAGCAUUUGUUGUAGAUACCCAAGUUAAAUGUAUCAUAGGUUUAGCUCGGUGGGUAACCUUAAUAUAAUGUCAGCUUGUGUGAGCAAUACAUUCUCAUAUAUUCAAGUUCGUUUUACUAUAGUUCUAUCGGGCAAUGAUCAAUUGACUAGAAAUGGAAUUUAAAUCAUGAAAUGAUGUUGAUGAUAUUUGACAUAUAGGUUGUUAUAUGAUUCUAUUUUUAAUGUUUUUAAUGUUAACAAUACUUAAGAUAUAUGUAUUAAUGUGCCAAGGUAAGUUAAAUUGGUUUCCAAAUAGAAUAAUUAAUUAUGUCAUAUGGCCAAGGUAUGCUUUAGUUUUGAUUUGAACUUACUAAGCAUUUUACAUGCUUACCUUUGUUUCUUUUCCCUUUUUCCUUAUAGAUAGUCACCUUAUGGAACACAUCAAGUUGGAUUGUCUCGAAAUUCACACUAUCUCCAAUUCAAUAGCUAUUUGAUCAUUUUGAGUCAAAGGUUGUGGCAUGUAUAUAAGGUGUCUUGUGGUGCAUCUUAGCAUGUAAAUGUAUUUACUUAUAGCAAGUUUUUUUUAAUCUUUACUUAUCAUGUUGAUUUGGUGAUUUGAAUCAUAUAUGUCGUUAGACAUAUAUGUAUGUUUAUGCUAAAGAAUGUGAUGAACUAUAAUCAUAUAUUUGGCAUGUGGCAUGGCAUAGAAUGAAGUUGUGAUGGUAUGUUUGGUUGGUAAGCUUGAGAUAUGUAUUAGUGAAUAGAUGAUUUGGUUCAUGUUAAGGCACAUAAGCUAUUAAAGUACAAAGUGAAUAUAUGUGUAUGAAAUUAAGGUGAUAUAGCAUGUUUCAAAAUGAAAUGACAUUAGUAAGGUUUGAUCAUUACAUGACUUGGUUGUUAGGUUAUAAUAGUAGUAAGAUGUUUUGAAUAGGUGUGAACUGUUUGAUAAGAAGUCAAAAUUGUAUGUUUGAACUCAUAUGGUAUGUUUUCAUAAAUUUUGAGACAAUUUGGAGUGAAAUAUAGGUUCAUCUUUUGAAUGGUUUGGUUGGAAACUUAGAAAUAUGUACCAAAUGGUUCAUUUUUACCAAAAACAAGGUCCUUGUCUCGAUGACCAUCUUUCUUGUCACAACAUCGGUCAACAGCAUGUGACAUCGCGGUGUCGAGUGACUUGAAGUCGUGACAUGACAAAUUGUUUGACAAUGUCACAAUGUAGAAAAGGUGAUGUCAUGACAUCGAACCCGAACUUUUAAAAACUUUGCAAUUUGGUCCUAUUUUGAGUUUAGGUUUACAAAAGAACUUUCGUAAGCUCGAUUAAGACUCAAGAUUGAUUGUUUAACAUGAUUUGAAUGUGAUUAACAAAACUUAAAUUGCAUGUGUGAAUGAUUAAUUACUGCGUGUUUGUCUGUAGUUCGGGCCUGGUGAUCAAGUCGAGUGAGGGGUGUUAUAUCACUAAAGUUGAAGCUGAAACCUAGGUUGAAGCCAAAUUCGAUAUUGAAGUUGAAUGUGGCAGUGAUCUUAAGCAGAAAGUGUUAAGAUUUGUUCUCACAGUGCAAUGAUUCAGGCACAAUUACUUGUAAGUUUUGCAAAAAAAUGAUUGAAUAAAUAAAAUUACCACAUGCUCAUUUAGUUGAUCUUUAUAUGUUUUUACUCAAUGGUUUUUGCAUGAAAAACAAAAUGUAUAAGCAAAUACAAACUUCUUAAUUACCAAAGGUUUAAAUACUAUUAAGUUGCAUUAUAUAGAUGGAUUAUACUGCAAGAAACUUAUACUGGUAGGUAAUUUAAAUUAUUUGUAGGACAUAGAAUUAGAUUGAGAAAAUGAUUCAAAUAAUAAGAGACUAUUAUGUUUUCUAUAAUUCCAAUUGGAGAGAUAGCUUGCCUUGGCUAUCAAAACAAAGUUGACUUCAAGAAAUAAAGACAUAGAUGUGAUUGUCUGAACUAAUAAUACAUUAGAUUGGAUCCAAGUUGAAUUGAUCCUAAGUUCCUUUAUAGAUUUAUUCAUUGGUGACAUUCAUAGUAUGACUUACCUUAAUAAUGAGUAAGUGAAUAAUCACGCAUACAUGACUCAUGUACUUUAUAUAUUGAAAGCAUGUCCUUUCAUAGUAGUGGGUUGAACUAUGUUUGGUACAUGAGUUAUGCAUGGCAUGACUUUACCCACAAUAGUGAGCUAUAGCUUGAAUAAAAGAGUAAAUGAUAUGCUUUCAUUGGCACUGUAUGGAUUUUGAAAAUGGGACGUGGACAUGAGUCAUUUGUCUGGACGAAUGACUAAUAAUUACUAUUUGUAAAUAAUGAUCAUUUUCAUUGUGGAAGGUACAAUGUUGACCAUAAGAUAAAAAUAGAUCGAAUUAGGUGAAUGGAUUUAACCUAAAGGGGUCAAAGAUCCCCUAUCAGGUUAACAUACAUAUGACAAAGUCAUUGGACAAAAUCUUAACAUAAAUAGCUUUCAUAAUGGUAUAUAAUGGAUAGAUUAUUCGUUGUACUUUUAGUAGAUUGAACUUGUGACUAAACAACUAUGUAAUUAAUAGACGAAGAGUCGAAACUUAAUUACAAAUCAUCUAAGUCCUAAUUAUAUAUGUCCAAUCGAUCUAUACUGUAACAAUCCAAAAUUUCGAUAUGUCAUCUGGCAUUGUUUCAAAAUUAGAUACAGUGAAAAUUCCAAGGAUAUUGGAAAAUGAAAAAUAUUGAGGAUGUGGAAUUGUUGCAAAAAAAAAGAACAAAUUGUAAAUUUUAAAAAAGUUUGAGGACUAAAGUGCAAAUUUGACCAAAAAGAGAUAGGGAUUAUUAUUGACUAUUGUAGCAUAAGAAUAAAUUAAAAUAUGUAUUGGUGCGAGAAAAAUCAUUUUUGAGACUAAAUUGAAAAGAUUGGAAAGUACAAAUAUUAAAUCAUAAAUUUUUCUUUUAUCGAGAGAAGGGUGAAAGUGUAAUUUUCACCAUCUAAUGAUUUUUAUUAAGAUUUUAAUUUUGAAUUAUGAGAUUUCAAUAUUUUACAUGUCUAUUUGUUGCAAAGAAAUUGGAGUAAGAGGCAAGAAGGGACAUAAUGAUAAUUUUACUAUGUAAGAGCAUUUUGAUCAUUUGUCAAGAAUUUUAUAUAUGAAGUAUUAUUUUGGCAUGAUGUUAUUAUAUUGUGAUAUAAUAUUAGCCAUUGGAUGUGAAUGGAAGGGAGAGAACAUGUUAAUAUAUUUUGACAUAAUGUCAUUAUAUUUUAUACAAAUGAUUGGGUUAGUGAGAACAUCAAAAAAAUACUCACAAUAUUAAGUUUGAUAAUUUGAAUUGGAUCACACUCUUUUGUAUUCUUUGCUGGAAAAUAUGGAAGCAAAGAAAUUUGCUUGUGUUUAGGAGGGACAGAUCAUUGUGGUUCGUAUAACACUCUUGCACAAGGCGUUGCUAGUUUAGGCAAAGUCAGUGUUCAACAGUAGUGUUACGAGUAGCCAACAGGCUAUUAAAACUGAAAAGCUUGUUGGAUGGUCAGCUCAUGCAUUUGGUUGGGUUAAAUUGAAUACAAAUGAAGCAUAGCUUCAACAAGGGGGUAUUGACUGAGAGACUCCUCAGGUCGAUGGCUAAUGGGUUUUAUCUAUUCUAGAGAUAAGAAAAUUUUAAUGUUUUUAUUAAAUUUUAUUUUAUUAUAUUUUCAUCCAUUCAUAUGUAAAGAUUUGUUUUUUUAUAUCAACUUAAUAUAUAUUAAUGAUUUUAAAUUCAUACUAAAAUAAGUUUUACAAUAUAUACAUUAAAUAAAUAAUUUAAAAGUAAAUUAUUUUUUAAAACCUUAUUGAUCACACAUAAAUAUUUUAUUUAAGUAAAUGUAUUCUUUUAUUCUUUCGAUCAAUAGUAUAUUUUAAUAAAGGACACAAUUCCUAUAUAUUUGUUUUUUAUUCUUUUUAAUUUCACUUUUUUUCUUUAUUCUUUUUUGUAUUUUCAUCUAUAUAAUUUUUUUUAUAUAUAUUAUGUUAUGGUUAAUAUCAAUAUAUACAUGUGUGUGCAAAUUUUUUUUUCAUUAUUUUGACUAAAAAAGUUAAUUUUCAAGCAUUUUGUGAUUGCUUAACAUAGAAUUUUUUCAUUUAUUUAUUUAAUUUAAAUUUAGUAAAUAAUUUUAAACUUUAUUAAGAUAGUAUUUUAGGAUAAUAUAUCUUAAUUUAUUUUUUUCCAUUUUUAUUUAUUAAUAGUUUUAAUAAAACAUAUGUUUCAUUUUUAUAAUUUUAUAAUCUUAAAAAGAUAACGAUUUUCAUUUAUUUAUAUUAAAUUUUUAUUUAUUAAAUUUUUAUUUUAAAUAGAUUUUAAACUUGAAUUAUUUUAAACAUUAAAAAAAAUAAUUACCAUUGAAGAGGUAAAAAAAUUAAAAUUAUAAAUAUGAGAUUAGUGUUUUACUUUAUGACAAUGAAAAUAAUUUUGCUAAUAGAUAAUUUUUUAUUAAUAUAUACAUAUAUCUAAUGAAUUUUUUAAUAAUUUGUCUUUUACACUUUGAAUAUUUUUACAACACCCUUUUAAAAUAUAAUUUUCUAAUUAUUAUUUAAAAUUUAAAUAAUUCUAAUUACUUUAAAUUUAAAUUUACUUUUAUUAUUGCAUUAAAUUUGUUUUAAAUUAUUUAUAACUCAUUCAUAAUCAUACCUAUUUCUUAUAUUUUUAUUAAACAAUAAUUUAUUAUAAAAUUUUCUAAAAUUAAAUAAUAAUUUUGUAUUUAUUUUCAUUUUAUCAUUAUUUAUAUUUAUAUUUAUUUUAAUAUUAAGUCACAUUUUAAAUAUUUUUUAUAAUAAAAUUAAAUUUAUUAAUAUUAAUAAUGUAUUUUUGUUAUACUAAAAAUUUUUAAUAGUAAUUUUAGAAUAUAAGAUAAUAUUUUAAUUUUAGUUUUAGUUUAAAUAAUUUUUUAUUAUAAUUUUAGUAAUAUAAAAAUUCUUUAUAGAAAUAUAUUAAAUAAACAACUAACACAUGCAUUAUGCGUAACAAACUAGUUAGAAUAUAAUUUAAUUAAAUUUUAAUUUGGUAAAAAUGAAGAAUAAUUUUAAAAUUGUUAUGAUUAUUAAGUGGAUGUCCAUUAAGAUCAAUAUAAGUUUUGAUGUACUUUAAAUUCUAAUAGUCAUUAGAAUUAAAUCUCUACUUCAUUUAUACUUCUUAUGCUUAUAAAUAGAGACUUUGGAGAAGCUUUGUAAAUAUUUUGAUUGAUUAAUAAAAUACACUCUCUCUUCUGCUCUCCCAUUCUCUUUGUUUUUUAUUUUCUGUCUUUUUAUUUUAUAACACCUUAUCAGCACAAUCUUGCUCAAAGUGAUAAAAACUUUUAUCGAUGAUCAAAUUUAUUCUCCAUGAUUUCCAAGAUCUUAGAAGGCAAGAUGCAAAGUUUUUGCAGGAAGUUUCUUUUAUUUAAUGUUUCAUAUUUGAUUAUUUUUAGAUAAUUUAUGAUCAAUUAUAAUUAUUUUGAUUAAAACCUUUUAUCGAUGAUCAAAUUUAUUCUCCAUGAUUUCCAAGAUCUUAGAAGGCAAGAUGCAAAGUUUUUGCAGGAAGUUUCUUUUAUUUAAAGUUUCAUAUUUGAUUAUUUUUAGAUAAUUUAUGAUCAAUUAUAAUUAUUUUGAUUAACUUUUUUUUUUAUUUUUAUGUUAUUAAGGAUGGUGAAGGAUUUGAUAUCGCUAUCUAUAUGAAAUUGUGAUUGGAUUCAAAGUCUACUAUUGGAGUUUAAAUUUGAUUAUUUGUUGAUAAAAUCAUCAAGAAUUCGUUGAAUAAGAAACGUACAUCAACUUAAUUAGAUCUCUAUCUUUACACUUUUUCUCAAUAAUAGCAUCUUUAGAUAUUAAAUUAAUUUGAUAUAUGGUUUAAAUAUUUGAGAUGAAUUUAUUUUAAGUUUUGGUUCCAUGGGUUACUUAUUGUUUCAAACAUCUUAUUUAUUCAUGAAAAUGAAUAUUGUUUGACUUCUUUAUGUUGUUAUAGUAGGUUUUAUAAUUAAAUAAUGUAUUUGGCUUAAAAACAUAUUAUUAUGUAAAUUUGUGUUGAUAAACCUAUGAAAUUUAUAAUUGUUCAGUUUUGAUUUAGUUUGAAUAUAAAUUAUGUUCCAUUAAUGUCUCUUAUUAUUUUGGUUAUACAAUUUGAAUUUUUUCAAUACUCAUACAUGCAUAGUUCUAAACACAAUUUUUUGAGGAAUGUCUAAAUUGAUUUUUGGGUUGGUUCUAAUAUUAAAUUUCAAGUUUAAUUGUUGUCAUUUUUAAUUCUUGAUUUAUUUUGGUUGAAAACAUUUUCAUAAACUUAAAAAUAAGAAUUACUAUAUGAAUUUGAUCGCUUGCAUUUCUACGAAUCUCGUUUGUAUUAACCAAUUUUUGUUUGAUAAGAAGCAUUAAAACAACUUGCCUGGUUUAAUUUUGAUAAAUACCUUAUAUUUUCUUACUAUACAACCCAGAGAAACUUGUUGUUUUCGUAAAGUUGUUAAAGGUGGUUCAUACACUUUAUAUUUGUUAAUUAUUUAGAGAAAUUAUAUGAGGAAUUAUAAAUGGAAAAGUUUUAGUGAACAUGAGAUGUAUGAUUUUGAAGUAAGUUUCAUACAUGUCUGCAAUGGUUUAUGAUUUUUUUUUGUACGAAUAUGAUAAAUGAAUGAUAUCUAUAUAAUCUUAUUGGUAAGGAAUAUGAUAUAUGCUUACAUUAUUGUUCAAUUUUGUUUUUGUACAUUCCUUGAAAUGAAUGUUUGCAAUAAAUAUAACAAAUUGUAUAAUCACUUUUGGUUAUUAAUGUCAAUUUGAACAUUUGAAGAGCUUGACAUAUUCCCUGAAGUGAAUAUUGCAAAUAAUUGUUUGCAAAUUAUAUUUCUUUUAUUGAGUUAAUAACAUUAUGGACUUCACAUUUAUGUAGACAUUUCCAGAAGUAAAUGUCACAAUAGUACUUAUAUGUGGAUACAAAGUAAAAGGAAUGAUGGUAAAAUUAUCAAUUUGUCACAAUUUAUAUUGAUAUUAAUAGUACAAUUGAAAUGUACGUUAAAGUAAACUAGAAGUUUACUGAUACAAAUGCAUUUACUACUUGGCGUGACAAGUUAGACCAUCAUGGAUCAUAUAUGAUGCGAAAAUUAAUUAAGAAUCCAUAGACAUUCAUUAAAGAACCAAGAGAUUCUUUAAUUUAAAGAACUCUCAUUUGUUGUUUGUUCUCAAUGAAAACUGAUUAUUAGAAACUCACUAGCUAAAGUUGAGAUUUAAUGUCUUGUAUUUCUGAAAUGAAUAUGGGUCCAUUCAUCCACCAUGUGGAUUUUGAAAUUAUAUGAUUUUGGUAGAUGCAUCUACAAAAUAAUCACAUGUGUUAUCAACUCGCAACCUGUCGUUUGCAAGAUUGCUUGUUUAAAUGAUUAAUUUUAGAUUAUGCAGUUAAAACAAUUCAUCUUGUUAAUGUUGGUGAGUUUAUAUCCCAAGCUUUCUAUAAUUAUUGUAUGUCAAUUAGGAAAAAAGUUGAACAUCCUGUAGCUCAUAUUCACACAUAAAACGAUUUAGCUAAAUUGUUUAUCAAAUGUCUCCAACUAAUAACUAAAUCAUUACUUAUGAGAACAAAGCUUCCUAUUUCAGCAUGAGAUUGUAUUGAUUUACAUGUUGUACGUAUCAAAUCAAUAAAUUAUAAAUACUUCCCAUUACAAUUGAUUUUUGGUCAAGAGCCAAAUAUUUCCCAUAUUGCAAUUUUUGGAUGUGCGGUAUAUGUUCCAACUACUCCACCACUACGUACAAAGAUGGAUCAUCAUAAGAGAUUGGGAAUGCAUAUUUAUAUGAGUCUCCUUAUAUUAUUAAAUAUUUUUGAGGUAUUAAUUCGAGAUUUAGUUAUGAAAUGAGUUGUCUGUUUUCCCAACAUUAGGGGGAGAGAAUAAAAAGCUGGAUUAAUAAAAUACUUGAAAUGAAUUAUCAAAGUCUAAGAUCCUCGUACAAAGCAAUGUGAACCAAAAGUUCAAUAGAUAAUUCAUUUUACAAAUCAAUUGUCAGAUUCAUUAAACCUCACAUACCAACUGAAAAUGCUACAAUAGGAAUUGAUGUCCAAAUAGGGCAAACUGUUGUGCAAAAGAAAGUAAUCCACGCCUAAAGCAUGGAAGACCGGUCGGUUCCAAAGAUAAAAAUCCUCGUAAAAGAAAAGAAGCAAACAUUCAAGAUAGUCAUAUAGUAGAGGCAGGGUUCUUGAAGAAACCCAUGACAUAAAUAAUUAUAGAACUCAAGAAGAGAUUCAGAUACCUAAAAGUAAAAAUGAAAAUGAUGAAAAUAAAGAAAUAUCGAUAAAUUAUGUCAAUAUGAGAAAAAGAUGGAACUGAAAAAAAUAUAGUUGUCGACAACAAUUUUGUUUAUAAUGUUGUCAUUGAAAUAAAAAAAAGGAAAUGAGGAUCAUGAGCCUAAACCUAUUGAGGACUGUAAAAAUAGAAAAUAAUAGCCAAAAUGGAAAGACGUAAUUCGAGCAAAAUUGAAUUCACUUUCAGAACGUGAGGUUUUUGGACAUGUAUCCUAAACACCUAAAGAUGUAAAGUCGAUAGAAUAUAAAUGGGUAUUUGUGUGAAAACGAAAUGAAAUUGUGAAAUCGUAAGAUAUAAAACUCGACUUGUAGCAUAAAGAUUUUCGUAAAGGCCCGAUAUUUAUUACAAAGAGACAUAUUCUUCUGUGGUAGAUGCAAUCACGUUUAGAUGACUUAUUAGUCUGGCAGUACAUGAAAAACCUUACAUGCAUCUAAUGGAUAUUGUUACAUACUAUUUGUAUGGUAGACUUGAUAGUGAAAUUUAAAUGAAAAUCUUAGAAGGAUAUAGAGUUUCUUGGGAAAAUUGCUCGAUCAGACUAAAGAAAAUUUUAUAUGGAUUAAAACAAUGUGGACGUAUGUGGUACAAUCUUCUUAAUGAAUAUUUGUUGAAAGAAUGUUAUAAAAAUGAUCUAAUUUGUCCAUGUGUUUGUAUAAAAAGGUUUGGAUCGAAUUUUGUGAUAAUUAUUAUUUAUGUUGAUGAUCUUAAUAUUAUUGAAAUUCCUAAAGAGCUUCAAAAUGCAAUAAAUUAUUUAAAGAAUUUGAGAUGAAAGAUCUUGGAAAAAUAAUGUUUUGUCUUGGCUUGCAAAUCGAGCAUUUAAAAGAUGAAAUUCAUGUCCAUCAGUCAAUUUAUACGGAAAAGAUCUUAAAGAAGUUUUACAUGGAUAAAGCGUGUAACAUCCCCACUUUAAAAAAAGAAAAAAGAGAAGAAGAAUAUCUAUAGUAGAAGUUCUUAAAUAAGUGAUCUAUAAAUAAAUAGUAGUACAAAAAAAUUGUGACGUUUUUAAAAGAAACUGUUAGACAUGAAAACACAGAGGAUUAUUAAGAGUAUGUGGUUAAUUUAAAAAUUCGGUAUCGAGUUCAGAGAUUAAAUUGAAUACAUUAGAAAAGUAUAGAGACUAAAGUGCAAUUAUCUUAUUUUAUUUUGACGAAAAUGACUUAAUGGUAAUUUUUCCAUUACUUAAAAAAAUAAAAAAUGUCAUGAUGGCUUUAAAUGAUAUUUUCAUUAAAUAAUUAUUAUUUAACAUUUUAUUUAAAAUAAUAGUAAUUUAUUAAAUAUUAUAAUAUAUAUAUAAAGAGAGAAAGAUUAGUUUCUUUCUCAUCUUUCUCACGAAAGGUUGGGAAAAAAAACAAAACUUCUUCCAUUAUUUUCCUUCAAAUUCAACUAUAAGGUAUGGUUUUUCUUCAAAUUUUUGUUAGAUUUUGAAUUUUUAAAGCUUGUUUUACAUAUAUAUACCAAUAGUUUUUUAUUUAUCAAGUAUUUUGGAAGUUGCCAUUAAAGGACAUUGAUGGAAGCUUAAAAAACUUAAGUGAAAUAGAUAUAAUUUUGGAUAGGAAAUGAUUAGAAGAUGAGUUCUAGCUUGUUAGAAGUUUGAAAAAGAAACAAAAAUGGAUGAAAAGUUUAUUUGGUAUAUUUGGCCAUAUUAAAGGGGAAGUAGAGAACAUUGGCCACUUUGUGUAAUAUUGGUGCUAAAUGAUAACUAGUGAAGAAGUGAGUACUCCAGUGAAGACGGAAUUGAAAACGGAUAAUCGAGUCGAAAGAUAUGGGAAUUUUGGACUAGGAAACUUAAGUUGCUAACUUAAUCAACCAUGCAUAUUUAAGUUUGUUUUUAUUAGUUUUAGUUUUAGAAUGGAUAAAUGAUGUUGUUUCGUAUUGAAUUGCUCCUACUGUAGCUAAAAACGAAGAGAACAUCUUGAAGGAGAAAGGCGAAGAAAAUGAGUAAAGCGAUUAAAACUUCGGUUUGUACUAAUAUCUUAUUUUCAUCACAUAAAUCUUUAGAAUAUAUAGUUUACUAUGAUUAGUUAUAUUGAUUUUAUUUUAUUUUAUUUUUAUGAGUUUUGGAUGAGUUUGAAUGAUUUAGUUAAUAUUUAUAAACUUAUGUUUCAAGAUGAAUACUAUGUUUUUCAUAUGAUCAAAUUAGCAAAUUCAUGGUUAUGAUUUGGAUUUGAGUAUUAUGAUUUUAGAUGAUUGAUUAACAAAAUGAUUAAUAUGUUCUAAAUUGGAAGUCUAUUUUUACAUUAAGCGAUAUAUGAUUUGAACAUGAAACAGAAUUGAAAUGAGAAUUAUAUGAAAAUGGAAUUGAAAUGGAUCAUGAAAUUUAGUUUUUAUCCCGUUUCACUAAGUUAGACUAAAUCAGAUAUAGUUGGUGUAACACCUCAAACCCGGCCUAGACGUUAUGGUCGAAUCUAGCGAUAUCACAUGGGAGUGUUUUUGGAAAACCCUUUUCGCUACAUGAAAACUAUUACAGUUAUUAUCUUUAAUUUAGUCUAGAGUCAUAUUUCAAAUCGCGGAAGCUUUCAAAACCAAUUUAGUUUACGAAAAAUCUUAGUUAUUUCGAUAAAACCAUUCUCUAGCAUUGUGGUUCUAAAAUUCGAAUUCACAGUUCAGAUCCCAAAUCAAAACUAAAAGUCCAAAUCCAAGAUUACAUCCAAAAUUCUCAAAAUAAUUAAGAAGAAAUGAAAUAAAAUGUUUAAACUAUAAAACUCAUAAGUGGAAAGAUGGGGUCACCAUUGAGUCCUUUGCUGCACCAAUCCAACUACUGCUGGGGAUUACCUGGACAGAUAAAAUAGAAAAGGGUGAGUUUCACAACUUAGUGUGUACAUCCCCCACAGUUUAACAUGCAUACAGACAAAUAUCAAAAAAUAGUCAUACUUCGAGCCUGAGCCCUUUACAAAAUCAGUAUGAGAUUUAGCCCAUUCAGAAACAGAAUCAGAUGCAUAUAUAAAGUUAGGCCUUAGCCCACGAAGUCAGAUAUAGCAUGCAACAGAUCAUAUAUAUAGAAAAAUAUGCCCACCAACCCUGCACACCAACUCCGUCCAACCCAGCACACCAUGUGGGGAUAAAAUCGACCCACCCAUCCCUACACACCAAAUAUGGGGAUAAUAUCGACCCAUCCAACCCUACACACCAUAAGGUACCGCAAUGCAGCACACGUCAUACAUAUGCAGCUUAGCUGCCAGACAACAGGCUUAUGAAGCCUUUCAGAUACUUCCUUCACUUCAUCAAACCCACCCCAAUACAAUGUAGCAUACAACAUGGCAUGCUAAUAAACAGAUUAAUGACAUAUACCCAUAUACAGAACAAAACACAUAUACAUGCUAACUAGCACAUGCAUUAAUCAUACAUCACAUAAUCAGAUUAGAUAAACAAAAAUUAAAGGUCUAAGUAAUGCUUACCGACCCUAUAACUGGUCACAGUCGACUUGGGCUACCUGUGCAACCUUACAGAAUAUUUCGGAAAAAUGGGCUCACAUGCCUAUGUGACAUGCCCAUAUGGCCCUACAUGCCUGUGUGGCCCACACGGCCCAAAUCAGCCUUGGUCGGGUGGACCACAUGGCCUGGCCAAAAUUCUCACAUGCCCGUGUAGCCCACACGGCCUAAUUGGUCGAGCCCGUGUCUCGCACACGGCCUAAUUGGUCGAGCCCGUGUCUCGCACACGGCCUCGUCGGUCAUCACACGGCCGUAUUGUGCUCUAGUGUCGCAUGCGCACGGCCUGAUUCAUCGACCACAUAGCCCACCACACGGGCAGUCCACACACCCGUGUGGUGUCGAUAGUUUGCUUUUUAGUUUUCGUCGAAUCUCAUUUUCUGUGUAAUCAGAGUACACACCUGGUAUCGAUUUGAAGCUAACACAACCACAAACACUCCAAAACUUAAUAUCGAACAACACGUCCCUUAGUUAGUCACUUAAACCAAGUUUUUAAGAACGGGAAAAUCCCGAAAGUUAACGAUUUCCAUACCUCUAAUGAUCAACGAUAGUUCCUUGCUGUCUAAAGUGCUAGCGCCUAGAUUGUCUCCUACAUAGAAAAGAGUCUCUUAACCACUCAACAAACAUAAAAACAAGACAAAAAGCACUCCAACACUUACCGAAUUCGCACCAAACGCAGAGAUAAGUAACGACGAUGAAAAAUGACCAAAAACUAAUAUUAAAAUAAAGAAAAAAUCGGUAGCAACAAGGGAUUUUCGGCUGGAAAGAAAAAGAAAAUAGAGAAAAUAUGGAGAGGGGAAAUUUGCAGGGAAAAUUCAACAGUGAGAGAGUGGAAUGAUUUGGGUUACUCCCAAAUCCCUUGUUUUGCUCCCACUAAACCUUAGUUGUUGCAAACACUCAGUAUCCCAAACCAACUCAAGCACUCCCAUGGUAUUAGUAACAAAAAUAAUGCCUUCAUUCAAACUUGAACCCAAAACAUUCCUCACAUCCACACUCCUCUUAUCCACCAGACCAACAGACCCAUUCUUGUAAGCUUUUCCAACCAAUUACUUAUAAGCCCUAUAACCCAAGACAAGUCUUCAUACAUAUAAAAACCAAAAUUUUUCCCAAGCUAAGGUUUGAACUCAAGACCUCACACACACACCCAGAACACUUAACCACUGAAGUAUAUACACAAUUGUGUCAAUUAAUCACAAAAGCCGAAAUAUAAAAUUUGGGGCUUUACAAUUGGCAUGCCAUAGAGUCUUUAUAUCAGAUAAUUUCGAUCUCUCCAAUUCCUAAAGGAUUGAGGGAGAAAAGGCCAAGUCGGUCAGUUGUUAUUAUUGUUAGCCCUAAUUCCUAGAGGUUCAUGGGCAGUCCCAUUUCCCAGAGGGUCGUGGACUGUUUUGAUAGCCAUUGUUGCCGAACAACUCGGGGUGGUGGAUUCAUAUAUUUGGUUAUGAGUCUAAACUUUAGUACAAGAUCUAAAUUGAAACAAAAACAAAAACAAAACUUGAAUUUAUUUGAAUUUCCAUAUUGUGCAAAUUAAAUUAAUUAACGUGAUUUGAAUUUAAUUAAAAAACUUAUUUUCUUUAUUCGAUUUGUCAAUAUCAAAAUAUUAACUGUUGAUUUUAGAAUUUUCUUUUAUUGAGAUGUUUUUAAUGAUAUUUAUAAUCAUGUUUUAGUUUAUUUCUAUCAAUUAAUUUAUAUUCAAUACUUAUGUAAUGAUUUAUAUGAUAUUAGCACCAUUGAGCAUAAAAAUUGUUCAGCGUACAAUUUGUCUAUUUUUCUUUGCGAGGGUAGUUAGAUUCGCUAGAUUGUUCCAACAAUCCGGAGAAUCGAAGUUUAGCUCAAACAAUGUUGGUGAAGAGUUUACUUUAUAGUUGAUGUAAAUGGCAUGUACCUAGGCUUCUAUAUAUAUAAUAUUAUGUCGUAAAUUGAAUUUAAAUAUCUUCAUUAUGUUUUCUUUGCUAAUAUUCUAUAACUAAUGUUUUGGAUGAAAUAGUAAAGCGUAGAAAUCUAGUUUAUUGGUAUGUUUUGAGAAAUCGUAGUGCUGAGAAUUGAUUUGGGAGAUAAUUUGAAUGUGGAUAUUUUGUGAAAUCUAAAUUUUGUAGGAGGUUUUAUGUAAAAUAGGUAGAAAUGCUACUAAAAUUUUUAUAAAAUAAUUUUACCACUAUGUUUCCUUCAAAAAAAAAAGAAGAUAGAAAAGUGAGUUGCUUCGGUAAUGAAAUGUGGCAUUUUAUAUUCGAAUCCAACAACUGGGUCUGGUAUAAGGUUUCCCAAAACGUAUCCAUUGAGUACCCUGAUGGUUGUAUGGUCGUUAGAUUGAAUUUUGUCCUUGUGAGAAUGAUGAAUAUUUCUUGGUCCUGAAGCAUGAUAUCUAAAUAACAUUGAUGUAUCUUGCAAACAACACAAGACCUGAUAUAACUUUUGUUGUAAACUUGUUAGCAAGAUUUAGUUAUUCUCCAAACAUAGACAGUGGAAUGGAAUUAAACAUGUAUUCAGAUAUCUCAGAAGGACCAUUAAUAUGAGAUUAUUUUAUUCAAAUGAUUCAAAAUCUCUAUUAGUUGGCUAUGCUAAUGUUGGUUAUUUAUCGAAUCCACAUAAAUGUUGAUCUCAAAUGGGAUAUUUAUUUGCAUGUGGGGGUACUGUCAUAUCAUGGCGUUCAACAAAGCAAACAUUAACUGCUGCUUCUUCGAAUCAUGCAGAAAUAAUUGCAAUGCAUGAGGCACGUCUAGAGUAUGUUUGGCUAAGGUUAUUGACCUAACAUAUCCAGAAGAUAUGUAAUUUGCCUUUACAGAAAAAGAUGCCAACUAUCUUAUAUGAAGAUAAUGCAACAUGUAUAGCUCAAUUGAAGGGUGGUUACAUCAAAAGUAACAGAACAAAACAUAUUUCACCAAAAUUAUUCUUCACCCAUGUUCUUGAGAAAAGAGGUGAUAUAAAUGUUCAACAAAUUCGUUCUAAUGAUAAUUUAGCAGAUUUUUUUUUAUUAAAGUAUUGCCAACUUUAAUAUUUGAAAGACUACUACACAUGAUUGGAAUGCGUCGACUUAAAGAUAUAAUGUCAUGUUGCCAUAGGGGGAGUCUAAGAACAAGUUGUACUAUUUUCCUUUAACUAAGGUUUUGUCCCAUUGGGUUUUCUUUGUAAAGGUUUUUAACGAGGCAGCUUGUAAUAAAAGAUUUUGUACUAUUUUUCCUUCAUUAUGUUUUUAUCCCACAGAGUUUUUCCUAAACAUUAUCUAUCAAUGGACAUCUAAGGGAGAGUGUUAUGAAUAUUUUAUUAAAUGGAUGUUCAUCAAGAUCAAGAUAAGUUUUGAUGUAGUUUAAAUUCUAAUAGUCAUUAGAAUUAGAUCUAUACUUCAUUUAUACUUCUUAUGCCUAUAAAUAGAUACUUUGAAGAAGUAUUAUAAUCAUCCCAUUUGAUCAAUAAAAUACAUUCUCUAUUGCUUCCCCUAUUUUAUUUGUUCUUCAUUAUUUUUAUCUCUCUUUAUUUUAUAACAAAAACUAAUUAUUUUGUAAUUAAAAGGUCAUAAAAAAUGAAAAUUAAAAAUAAAUAACUAAUAAAGGGUAAUUUUAUAUUUUUAUUUAAAAUACAUUGUGUAUAACCUUUGGAAUGCAUUUUUCAUUAAACUUGAGUAUUUUUUCAAAUGUAUAAAGAUAGUCCGUAACGUUUACAUUUUUUUAUUAAAUCAAUCAUCAAAAUUUCAAAAAAAGUUGAAUUGGUGCUUUUUAACAAAAAUAUCGACUAAAACGUUAAAAUUUUAAACAUGCCAGCUCAUAUGGCAAUCUAUGCAUACUUCAUGUAUUUUUUUUGAAUUAUUUGUUCUUUUUAAAUUAUUUCUUAACGUGACAUGUACGAUAAAUAGUAUCAUGUCAACAUGAAGUAUACACGAACUACCAUGCAAGUUGCCACACUAACAUCGUUAAAAAAAUUUAUGUUUUAGACAAUAUUUCCAUUAAAAAAAAAUCAAAAUGACACUUUUUGAAAGCUUAAUGGUCAAAUUUAACUCAAUAAAAAAUAAGAGCCAAAUUGGCAAAAAAAUAUCAAUAUUAAGGGCUAAAUCUAUCAUUAUGCCUUUUUCAAACCAAAGUGAUAGUUUAUAUAAUAUGUUUAAGUAGUUCAUAAAUAAUUAAAAAUUAGUAAAACGGAAAAGAAUAGAUUUUUAAAUAAAAAUAAACAUAGUCAUUAGUUGUAGAAAUGCAGAGUUGUAAAGAGAUUAUAAGAAACCAAGGUUUCACUAUGUUAGUUAAAAAUUGUUUGAUUAAAAAAGGGGAGGGGAGAUAUUAAUGUACUGAAAUGCAAUGAAUUUAUGCCAUUGUGGCUCAAGGCAUGAGUUCUUUCCCGGAAGACAUUAGUGUCACAGAUGUUUAUAGGGGGAUAGGUUCCAGUUAGAGCUGCAGAAAUUCAGAUACAUGGAAAUGUAUGUACCUAAUGAGUAAUAUCCAACAGUUGGGGAAGAAAGAGCUUAUUCCAGGCAGGGAGGAAAAUGGGGGCAUCUUUUUGCUUUAUGUCAAAAGGGCAAUAACCACAAGUACCCCCCUUUGAUUUCGGGGGAAAGUGGACCCUUUUGGUUCAAAUCAGUGUUUGUUCAACUAUGAAGCUCCUGCUGAUGUUGUGUUAUAGGAUUUCUUACUUGCAAACAGAAUCAAAUACAUAAUUGAUUAUGAAGCAACUUUUAAAGCAGGAAUAGAAUUUUUUCAAAGUCAUUGCUAAAUGAUGACAUGAUAUACAGAAAUUGGAAAUAUUCUAUCCAUUUCCCAAAUACACCAUGGGUUAUAAAUAGGAUACUAUAUACAUAAUUGUCACCAUCCAUCUACUGAUAUUAGACCCAAGGAGAUUGCUAAGCACUGUCAAGCUUUCAUCUUCUCCCUUGUAACCCAUCAUCUACUGCAUUACAAUCCCAGGCUUUCAAUGUGCCCAGAACGGUUUAGCUGGAGUGCGCUUCAGUGCCUUCACUGCCAAAGGAUUGCCCUUGCUCUGCCAAAAAAACAACUGUUUAAAACUUCAAUUGAAACAAAUAGAAUGAAAGGAUUGAUGACUUUGGACUUAAGCGUACCAUCAAGCAGGUGCCUUCAUGUAUGUUGCAGACAGGGUAGUCAUGAGGGCAGCAGCUGUAGCGAUCUUCGCAGCAAGUGGCAGCCUCGAGUGGGCAGCAUCCCCAAGCAAAGCAGUAGUUAUAGUACUCGUAUAUGCAGCAGCAGGUAUUGCUCUCGGGACAGGAAUAAUAACUAUCGCACACGGUCGGAGGCUUUAUAGGAGAUGGUGGAGACGGUCCGGGAUUGGGGGGAUUUUCACCUGUUUUGAUCGGAUAAGAGGCUUCCAUCGCGAUCCCACAUUUGCCAGUUACGGUAUUGGCCACAUUCCUUGCCAUCCUGAUAUAGCCUGCUUCUCCCCAGCUGCUUCCCCAUGAGUUCUUUACAAUCCAAUAGUCUUUACCUUUCUCUGUGCCAUAUCCAACAGCAGUGACACCGUGGUCUAGUUGUGUUCCACAUUUUCCAUCAAAUAU
rnacentral:lncRNA from 1 species